UCUUCUCUUGUCACCAUCCAUGCCUCACUCCCACCACUCUUUUCAUUGUUCUCGUACUCGCACACUCCUCCCCCCUCGAUAUAGUAUGCCUCUCGUACCACCUCCUACAUGCAUCCCUCUCUCUCUAUCCUUCUCCUCGUGCCUCAUUUGCUUCUAACACACACAUGCAUGUAUACCGAUCGAUCUCCCAACAUAUACCUAGAUCGACUUUAACUACUUCCCCAUCGAUCGACAUACCUCACAAGUUAUGUCUCUCCUUUCUCUAACAAAGGGCGAUUGAUCUUCCUAUGUACUUACGUCUACUUACCACAGCCACAUCGUCCCCCCUCAUCAUUCGUGCAUGCCUCCUAACCCGUCUCUCACACACACGUGCAUAGACAACAAGCAGCCAUCUCCUCUCUUAUUGAUAUUGCGGGCGUGCCCUCCGUUUGUCUAGCAAGCCUAUCCCACCAUUUGUUAGAAGCAACUCCACUACCACCCCCUCCAACACUCUAGCUCUGUCUCUCUCCCAACCUUAUUCCUCUCCUGCACAUAUGCAUGGAUGUCGAUCGAUCUCCCUUAAUACAUGAGGCAUAUCGACCUCCUUAAUACAUGAGGUAGGCCUCUCUCCUCCUCCACACAUAUACCAGCCAUUGUACCUCUAUAGUUAAUUGGGCCUCCCUCUUCCCCCAGCACACACCGAUAGUCGAGCGCUGCAGGUAGGUAUACAUGCCACAGAGACAAACUGCACAUGUCCCAUCUCACAUUCCAGUAGGCCAGCCACUCUAUAUCUUUGACGUGGGCACACACAAAUUCGAUGGCACUCUUUAUCGAUCGCGCGUGCACACACACAGACAUCAUCCCUCUCUUCGAUUCUAUGGACACCUCAAGAUGCAUUUGUAUGAGUAGUUUAUCUUGUGAGAGAAAAGGUUGAACGAGGGAAGGCCUUAUUUGUGAACCUGGAGAGAUGUGUGGGUAUAUUUUUGCAAAAUUGCUAUAGUUUGUUUCCUAUCCAUUAGAUAUAAAUCCGACGGCCUAUAUUGCAGGAUGGCACGCACACCAUCAUCACCAACUCUGUUUUCUACUCCCUCCGUCCAAAAAUACUUGUCAUCAAAAUGGAUAAAAAGAGAUGUAUCUAAAACUAAAAUACGUCUAUAUACAUUUCCUUUUAUCCAUUUUGAUGACAAGUAUUUUCGGACGGAGGGAGUAUUUGUCUUUUUAGAGAUUUCAAUAAGUGACUAUGACCGAACCUUACCAACAUACUCAAAAAAGUAGUCCAUAAUUUUGAUGUUACCCUCUUUCUUGGCGGUGCAGUGCCAUCUGGAUACCUCAUAAAUAAAUAAAGUACUACAUGAUACUAAUAUAUGAUACAUGGUCCAGGAGUACUAAGUAUUAUUACUACAGUUUUGCUAGAACUCAUCUAGAUGAGAUAUAAUUUGGUCUCAUUCAUCUUUUAUAGCCAUUGGAUGUGAUGCUAUAUAAGAUGUGUGUGUGCUGACGUGGGUUGUAUUUGUUCUUGUGCAACAAACUGACCACUGCAUGUCAUGUUUGAUAGUCUCAAGUCAUUAAAAGCAUACAAGCCCCACAUCUCUUCUUUGUUGAUUCCUCUAUUUAUGUCAAAAAAUAAGAAACAACAUGAGAGUUAAUGCACCACGCCUAUGUGUUUACUAUUUGGUUUUCGUAAGAUGACUUAAUACUCACCUAGACAGAGGGAGUAUUCGAUUUGACAGCGGGUGGUGCAGUUCCCGAUACGGCUUUAAUGCAGAUGAGGGGGGGAGUAGCGGUUCUCGAUAUGUUGAAUGUCCAAUGCAUCCUCCUUCAAUUAAUGCAUGAGGGAAGUAAUGGGAGGAGGUCCGGGAAAUAGGCUGCAUGAUGUGAAUGCAACACAGUUUGCCCUCAUUGCCCUCAUAUAAAGGCGCCCCUCCAUUCCAAUGCAUCUACCACAUCGUACGCACCUAAGAAUUUGCCUAAGCACCUACACUAAGCGCAAAAGAGCUCACUCCAGACCCAUGGAGGCGAUGCUCGUGAGCGGCCAGCAGCUGCGCCAGAUGGUCCACGACGCCGGCCUGCGGCAUGGUGCCGAGGAUCGUCUCCAGACGGUAUUGGAGACCGGCUGGUGGAUGGCCGCCUUCGAUGCCAACUACGGCUCUCAGUUGGACCAGAUGAUCGUUGCCACUAGCAACAAGUUCAUCGUCCUCAAGAAGCUCGCGGACACAUUGCCGUACUCCUCCAGCCCGCGCGCCCGGGCUCCUCAUUGCCUGCCACCCUAAUCGGCCUCCAUGGUCGGAACCUCUUUCAAGCACUGGUGGCCCUGCGACUGCCCGCCGACGCCACGAAGAAUGUCCACCUGGAGGUCGCGCUCGCCGCGAGGCGCCUUGCCCUGCAAGAAUUCGUCGACCUACACAUCCACAUGUACGAGGAAAUCAUGUACAUAGGUAUCUGCAAGGCCAGUGAGGACGCUACGACAUUGGCCUUCCUCAACCGGCUGGAAGCCUUGGAUUCCUUUGCUGAGAUGCACCUCGACCUCGCCACAAAAGUCGCCGCUCCUUAGCCGUCGGUCGGUGGCCCAGCGCACUAAGUUGAGGAGGAGGAGGUCGUACGUUCGUGGAUCCAUCUUUCUUCUUUCCUUCUGUAACCACCACUACGAUCACAUCAUCGUGGCCUUAAUUCUUAUUGUGCUGUUGCAUUCUCGUUCCAGUCAAUACCAACAUGUGCGAUCCCUUUGCUUAAUUAUAUGCAUCACUGUAACUAGUACUCUAUCCGUCAAUUUAUAAGUUGUGCUUACCUUUUCCAUCAACUUCGUGCAACGCGCGGGCUUCUUUCUAGAAACACUAGAAUAUGUCUAUAUAAUCCGUAUGUGAUAGUCCAUUUGAAAUCUCAAAAAAGACAAAUAUUUAGGUACGGAGGGAGUAAUAUAUUAGGAGUAUAUCAAAACAAUAGUGAUUUAUUUCAAGUUUGUGAACAAAUACUACUAUUCUACUACUUUGGAUCCAUCGCAACGCACGAGCACAUUCCUGGUAAAAGGAAAAGGCCUACCGCGUUCGCGUCGCACCCCACACGCCCGGGAAUCGGGAGUACAGCACGGCCCGUCCGGCAUGACACAUAGCUUAGGGAAGGCGUGUUGCCUAGCAUUUUCACUUUCAUGUGGGAUCGCCGUUGAGCAAACCGACACCCCGCCCGCCGCCGGGUUGGAAAUAGAAACGAGGGGAAGAUCGAGCUGUAGCAUGGAAGCCAAGAAAUUUGGUGUCAGACGGGGCUCAUUGAAAGAGUAGGAGCAUUCCGUACUAGUACUACUCCUACUAGUACCAAGUUUGUACUCCUAAUACUAUAUUACUAGUACUACCACUAUACAACUAGUAGGUACGUGCAUGGCACAACAUCGUAGGAACAAAAAACGGGAAGAUCUUGUUUUGGGUGAUUUAUCUUUUUUUCAAUCAACAUAGUAUGAAUAAUAUGAUGUGGGGAGCACCCAUGAAGCUUAUGUGGCUUGGUUGCAUGGCUACGGAAGGUUAGAGAAAAAUAAAUAGAUAAUGUGUUUAGAGUGCACUCCACUAAAUAUAUAUAUAUAUAUACUUUGGAUCCAUUACAAUGGACCGGCACAUCUAUAUCUAUACCCCCUAUAUAGUGUGUGAAAAACUUUGAAAGUUGGUCGUUGGAUGAAGCCAAUCCGACGGUACAAAGAUGGCAAAUCCGAGCACUACUGGCCGUUGGAUAUCAUCCACCAGAUUCUGCCACAUGUAUAAUCUAGAAGACUCCAUGGUUGAACUUAAUUCAUGACUAACUUUGCCACAACUAAGCUUAGGCAAAGUUAUUAGUUCUUCAAAACGAGAGAAACAGGUAGGCAAGCCUAAGGGAAUCUUGCCACAUUUUUUGUGUGUAUGUCAUGUGGGGCCUUAGUGUGGCUUGCCUAAGGUGUGGCUUGAACCAAACACUCACCUAAGUUAAUCAAACUUGCCUAACCUUACAUUCCACCAGAUUUUGCCACAUGUUAGAAUCCAGAAAGCUCCACAUGUAGAAGCAUAAUGCACAAACCACCAGAAUCUCAUGCGUGCAAUGCAUGUGUACCUUACUAGUACUAGUUGGUAGUAGUAAGAAACAAAUUCCAGUUUUGGCACGAGCUCGUACUGCGGGAGCACCACAAGGACUGCCGCGGGAGUUACAUUUCCCUCUCGAGGCCCACGAGACCGAACUUAAGUGGCUUAGUGCCCGGCCUAUGAGUCAAUGACAUGCGGACCUCAAAAGCGGCUGGCCCACAUGUCAUUCUCAUGGUGGUGGCGUGGUUCGCGACUCACUCAUUCGAGAUGAACCGACCGGUGGUGGCGUGGCCGUGGCGAGGGUGCCACAACUGGGCGUCGGGGCGUUAUGAGGCGUAGAUGGCCACACCGGCGGGUACUACCUGUAGUACUCCCUCCGGUCCUUUUUUACUCUGCAUAUUAGGUUUAUCCAAAGUCAAUCUCAUCCAACUUUGACCAAGUUUAUAUACAACAUUAUAGACAUUCUCCCUAUCUCCCAGUUUAUUUGUUUUGAAUCUUUUCGUUUUAUAAGUUUCAAAUUCAAAUUUAGAGCUCCCCAUCACAUGUUGAUAUUAUAAUGUCCAUUAAAUCGUUGUGUGCAUGUAUAAUAAAGAAACAAAUCUCGAGUUUGGCACGAGUUCGUGCUGCAGGAGCACCACAAGCCCUGGCGCGGGGGUUACAUUUCCCUCUCAGGGCCGCUGGGACUGAGCUUCAGCGCCUUACUACACCUACCUUUGAGUCAAUAACAUGUGGAGCCGAUAGGUGACUGGUCCACAUGUAAUGCUCCCAUAGGUAGAGGGGUAGUGGGGCCAAGAGGGGUGAACCGCAGGUCGGGGACAUGUGGUUUCAUGGGCUCGAGCGGCGUCAUGGGAAUCACGGGUGGCUGUGCUAGAAACUUGAUGCUCGUCGCAUUUUAGGUGGCCCGCAUGUCAUGCACACAAGCUGUCAUGUCUACGGACACAUGCACUGCAUACCGAUCACUGGAAGGAGUAGCAGAGAAAGCUAUAUAUGCGGAUAAAUAGUUCCUUAUAGUCAAGCGGACCCGCGCUACUACUCUGUUCCAAAGACAUGCACACCAUCAAAAUAGUCCAUCUAUAUCAAUAUACAUCGAGAGGGAAUAAUUUUUUUACAAGAGAGGAAAUAGUUCAUCCAUCCAUAAUGCCCUCCUGCCGGUGCAGCCUUUUCUUCUUCUUCUUCUUCUUCUUCUUCUUCUUCUUCUUCUUCUUCUCAUUUUCAGUGGGAGACGGCUUCGCAAAAAGCUCUUUGGACCUUGCAGCUAUCUCGAAACUCACACGGGCAUCGAGGGUAGCAUAUUUUAUCCGCUCGUACGUCAAGGGAUAAUUCUCCCAUCCAGACGACCUUAAUGCCAUCGUCUCGUCACCCUUCUGAAGAUUUUUACCGAGCACAAAAUUUUCUACGUUGAAUAGGGAUGGUGUCUAUUUAUCACAAUCUUAUACAGGAAUUUUGAUUCUGGUUUGUAGCUCAGCGAUGCUUUUCAAAUCAAGGUUGUAAGGCUUCAACUUCUUUUUGUCCCCUUCGAUGGCUGCCCCACAGAAGUGUACGUCCUCCCGAGACAAGAAAUCGUGAAGCUCACGUGGUAUGGAGGGCGAGUGUAUGAUGAGGUACACCAAAACAUCAUCUUCGUGGCACAGCUGAAGGACAGCGGCGCACUGGAUCUUCCCAGGGGCAUGCUCCAUGUACUCUGCGUCGAGACCGAUGAUCCUCGUCUCUACCUUUUCAAGGGAGUUGGAUACAUUGUUGAUCCACUACCGAACAACCCUUGGGUGGAUGGUUAUGGUGGAAACUAUGCGCAUCGAGCCUUCGACGAGGACAUGUUGGACGCUAAAAACCUGCAUCUCGAUCUCUUCCUCCAUUUGGAACCGCUGGAACGGAGGGCUAUGGUUUGGAGAAUUAGGAUUAGAUGGCUAGUCUAACUGAAGUAGUAGAUGAUUAUUUAAAGAGGUUAAAACAAUGUGAACACAGUGGGUUUGGAUGCAAAUGAAGACGAAGGGGAGGUGAAGAAGCCGAGGAGAAUCGGUUCCCGAUGGAGAAGUAAAUGGGAGAGGUGGCAUGCAGGCAGUUGAUUAGACGGCUAGGUAGACUAAACGAAAAGGCUAUGCGGGUAGACUGAUGAGUCAUACCUGUUUGUGUACGUGUCCAUCCUUCAUGAUAGGUGGGACCUAUGCAAACAGAUAAAAAAUGUGUCGUAGUUUUUUUUUUGAGCGCGUGAGUGGGAGACACAACAUUCUACAUUUUUAUUUUCACUUUUCAGUUUUACAUGUAGAUUUUGACCCCAAAAAACACAUGGUCUUUUUAACACUUUUCAGUUUGCAUUAUCCUGGAUAUAGAACAUGGAUCUCUGAAUAAUUUAAAUAUUCUGAAUAAUUCAAUAAUUGACAGAGGCAUAACAAUUGAAAUGUAGCUUCAAAUGUCAAAAAUUAGUGUCCUGGAUACAGAACAUGGAUCAGUUUCCAGUUUGCGCAACACUUUUCAGUUUGCAUUAUCCUUCUCUGAAUAAUUCAAAUGUCCUGGAUACAGAACAUGGAUAACACUGUAUAUUUAGUGUAGAAUCUUUUUAGUACUUUGAAUUUUGGCCACUACUUCUACUGUUUAGUAACUUUUCUGAAUUUUGGCCACUACUACAGUAAGUUCAUGUGAGUAACUAUAGUAACUUCAAGUGAGUCACUCCAUUUCUGAUUUUUUUUACAUAAAACUAACCAUGAUAUUUGUUCCUCUGUUCUGGUCAUAAUUAUAAUCUGAUUGCUGAACCCUUAAUCAUUCUCAUAAUGUUUACAUGAUGCACAAUUAUACUGCCGUCAAAACUACUCCAUACACACAUUGUCGAAACUGACAAGAUGGUGGUGGAGGUGGGAAUAAAUGUUCAGUAUUGGUGCAUUUUUUGUGCUUACAAAAUUCAGAUUCAAUUUCACUACCAAAAGAAAAGAAGUGGAGAUUAAAUGUUGCUUUCCACUUACUUCACCUGUGUGUAACUCUUUUGGUGCAUUUUCUGCAGAACCUAUGUGUAGCUGCAGCAUACAGGCCAGUUCAUCAACUGCUCGAAGAAGAAAAGAAGGUGGCAUUCCCUUGCCUUUAGCAUACAGGCUAGUUCACUUAAUGUCCUCUGGUGCUAUAUUUCUGAGAACACACUACACCACGACACUGCAUCCCCAACAACCAGGUUGGAUGGGAAUACAGGUUCCGCCAAUAGACAGACGGUCGGGAAAGACUAUUGCCGACCGACCUUGUCUGUUGGGAAAAGACCAGACGGGAAAGCCCUUUCCCGACCGACAUAGAUUUCCCGACCGACUACUUGUUGGUGAUGGGGUAUCUUUCCCGACCGACAUUCUGUUGGGCCUACCCUGGGCCUUUCCCGACCAACAGUCUGUUGGGGCUAUCAUGGUCCUUUCCCGACCGACUAUGUACAGGGAAUUCUUUCCCGACCAACAAUCUGUUGGGAUGCCAUGGGCCUUUCCCAACCGACAAUAUGACAUUGUAUUCUUUCCCGACCAACAUUAUGUUGGGCCUGGCAUUGGCCUUUCCUGACCGAUUGUUAGACAGUUUUUUUUGCCGACCAACAUCCAUUAGCCCUCCAUAAGUGGACUUAAAUUAUCCAUAGAAUAUACAUCAAGUUACAAUGCAUGUCAUCCAAAAAUAUUGAACCAGAUGCAAACAAUAACAUACAUUUCAAUAAUUUUCACGUAUAAAUACAUCAUCUGUUAUGAACUAAUGACCAUCCAACUUUCCUAUAAAACUAGUGGAACUAAUUAAGUAGAGGAAACAUUAUGGUUUAUUGCCUAAUAGCAAAAAUACCACGCUUUAUUUUCUAGAAUUUGUUUUAAGAGGCACAUCAUCUGCCUUGGCUCCUUGUAGUGGGCAACUACAUACACAUCCUCUCAGCAUUCCACCAAGAUCCUUGUGUCGUUCUAGUACUUGACAACAAAGCCUUCCUUCUACAUCUCAUUGGAGAACAUCCUCCAAUUUGAAAAUCUGCAAGUCAAAAUCCCCAGUUAAUAUUUCCACAUGAUAACGGGAGAACGUGAUAUUUUCUCUAAGCUGCCUUCAAUAUCAUUUCAUACCAAAGCAAGUAAAGAGAAUUCAUUAUCACUGAUGGGAAAAGGGGUACCUUUCACUCCCCUCUUUUGUGUUUCCCGCAACUUCUUUUGCUAUAUCCUGAGAUACACGAAAGGAGUAAGAAAUCUAGAAGCGAAAGCAUUUGCUAAAUGAUAGGAUAAUUCUCUUCAGGACAUGGGGGGUAACGCUCUUCAGACAAUUCCUGCAUAAAUGAAAGGAGUAAGAAAUUAGAUGAUUAAUAAUAGGUAGCAGCGAAAGCAUUUGCUAAGCAAUGAAUUUACCUAUGGGGAUAGGUGGAGCCUUCAAUAUUUCCAAAUAAGUGACAUGCUCAAAGUCCUCUGUUGUAGGCAAGCCACUUGCUAUCACAAACAACAAUUCAAUAUCUCCUUCUAUCGUUACUUCACCAACAAACCAAGGCUCCAAAUCCUGGUAAAAGCCAUGGUAUGACUAGUAAUGUGAAAAAUACUCUGAAACAAGAAAAAGAAAUGGUUCUGUAAUCAGAGGAUGGAAAAUUACUUUCAUAGACCAUCAUAAGACACCACAAAAAAAUUAGCCUGACAAAAUCAGUUCGCCUAGACACUGUUAGAAAAUGCAGCAGAAAGAAAUUCUUAUACAAGAGCCACCUCUCGAAUGCAAAGGAAGUGACAUAUUUGAAUGUAACUUUGAAGCCAAGAUCUGUUUGUGACCUUUGUCCACCAUGCUACUACAGUUUUCCAAAUCAUUCACUGAAAAACAACAGAAAACAAAACUUUAUGUCAAGCCUGCUAUCAAAAGAAAAAACAUGUGUAACCAGUUCAUGAAAGUACCUUUUAGAAAACUACAAAACAGUAAUGAAGCUUAAUUAACUGCUGCACAUAAAGAACUUUACUGCUUCAAGGGUUUCUCUAUUUCCAUGAAUCAAAGCAUCAUAGAUUUCUUUUAAAGAUAUUAUUAAACUUACGGACUAGUUCAAAUCUGCACACUACAGCACAUAGAGAGAGGGGGGAGAGGAGGGAGAGGCCAAGUGAGAGAGUGAGAUCUUGCCGAUGUCGAUUAUAAUGUCUCGAUUAUAAUAAGUCGUUGGUAGGGAAAUCUGGUGUGUAGUGUAGUGAUUAAACAAGUCUCGAUUAUAAUACACUAUCAGAAACUGCAUUUUCUUUGCUUUGUGGAAAGAACACGGUUAGACGUUGCUGUUGCGCGCAAUUGGACUAUAGUAUUGAAAUGCCAACACAGAGGAGCAUCUCAUUCUCAACAACACAAAUAGUAAUAAAUACAGAGAAGUCAAUAACCAUGUGUUAACACGUUGAUCCUCAACUGGAAUAACCCCAACCCGCCCACCAUUUCCAGAACGAGCUGAUGGGUCAGCAGAAGUGUUUGUUUCUUCUCUUUAAAAAUAAAUAAGACAGAUUACUCUAUUGGCAUAGGCAAAAACAACUAGUGUGUGUGAUCUUAAGGUCAGCAGAAGCGUUUGAAGGACUAUUUGUGUUUAUACAAUUCAUUAUGUAUAUAAAGAAUUGCCCACUACAUACCUUUUUACUACUUUUAGUUGUUCCUCCAUGACCCCACCAUUUUACCUUUAGAAUAUCAGCUCACCGAUCUGGUGUUUCUCUAGUUUUCAGUUUUCCACACUCAGAAUGCUACAUGCAAUGGCAAAAGGUACAAAAAAAUUCAGAAUACUUGUCUAUUUCAAGUUGGGUCACAAGAGGUAACUUAAAAUAUGUACUGGUGAAUGUACAGAUUCUGAUUGCAAGAAAUAAAUACCUUACUCAUUUAUAGCAGCAGCAGAUCAUCCACUGUUUGCAUAAUGCACCAGUAUGUUCUUUCCAUCAAGCAGCUGAAUCUAUCAUCAUGUGCCAAAAAUAUGCUAUCGUAAGGAAAAAGAACUGUGCACCUAUUAUUGCAUAUUAUCCUAUAGGAACUUGACUUCUGCUAUACCUAAAGAUGUAGUGAAGCGCUAUUUUACCUAGUCGCUCAUCUUCUCCAAUGCCGAGAUGCUUCUCUUUCGAAAGAGAACUCGACGAAACUGUAUCCUUUGGAUGUCCUCGCAAGGGAUGUCAUAUUGCUUCCACUGCCAGCUAGCACAUCAAUCAGCAAGAGGACAAGCCUAACAAAAUCACAGGUCCAACAUCAAGAAGUUAGAACAGGUAUGUUAGGACUACCUUCGAGAACAUCGCCAUGCUGAGAGAAGACGUUGUCAAAUGACUCUAGUUAUCAGAUGUAUGAGAUACCUUCGACUUGCCAUGCUGCUCUUUGGCUCUAGCACUGCCUGCCUACAAAAAAAGAAUUAAUUGAAGACAUAGCACCAUCUGGCAAGAAACAUAAAUGAACUUGAUAUACAGUUAACUUAAGUAAGAUACCCAGUACGUAGAUAACUCACUAGACUCACCAAUUGGUGGGGAGGCAGUGGCAAAGAGGGCGGGACAUCACUGCGCCACCUGCCGGAAGCUCGUGAGUAGCCAGAAGCAGGAAUCCUUGUGCACAAGUGCCCUGAACAUAUAAAGAAAACAAAAGGCUAAUUGUGAUUCUGGAGCUAUUUAUUUCAUAGCAAGGUUAAAUAAGCUGAAGUUCUUGUCCUCAGAGCAUGAAGAUUAAAUAUAGACUCUUAUAUUUGUGACAAUUCUACAAUGCUCAACUGAAAGGCUGAACCAUUAGUAUGAUUAUUUGGACAUUUUGUGCAACCUGAAGGUAGUUCUCACUUCUCAGUGUUGUGCUUUACAAAUGGAUCUUCAAUUAAGAUAUGCAAGCAAGACAUACAUACCAAGUAAUCACCACAUCAAGUCUGAGCUACCAGGAAUGGAUGCUCAAACAUACCACUUGGAGUGUUUAUUUUGUGACAUGGACGGAAAAAAUAUUGAAAGGCAUUACUGAAUAUAUGUAAUGCGUUUUCUGAUUUCUAAUUGUCAUGAUCAAGGGCUCUGGACCAAUAUUUAUUGGCAUGGUAAGCAUGUAUCGUUACAGAUACAGUACAAUUACUGCUGUAAUUGAGAAAUUCAAUUCAUAAUUGUUGCCCUCUGAUGUCAAUAGUUUGGUUCGGUACUUCAGUUUAUUUCUAACCCAUGCAUUUUAUUCAGAGACAUUGUGCAAUAAGAUACUCAGUCACAAAGCAAGCAUCAUAUCAAUUUUGUACUGUCCGAAAUUGGUGCCUGAGUGUAUUUUCAGUUCAGGGAUGUGCAUGUAUAUAGGUUGACCUUAGCACAUCACUCAAGUAAAAGUUAAUUUCAGUGAAUUAAAAGAACCUUUAUCUUAUCUCGUUAUUAGACUGCAGAACAAAUGUUCCAUUGAUCUAUUGCCUAAAUUUGAAUGUUUAACUGUGUCAUUCUCUAUCUUACUGAAAACACAGAGAUGAAAUUGUUCUUAACUAACAGUCCCUUACCCAUGUGUAACCAAUUCGUCAAAAUACUUUUUAGAAAACUAUAAAUCUGCACACUAGGGUUUCAAAUCUGCACGCUGCAACCAGGAGGGGGAGUGGAGGGAGAGACCACAAGAGAGGGAAAGAGACCUUACCGCUGUUGUUACCGCCAUGGAUGGCUACCUGUUGGUCACCGAAGGUUGGUUGGCAGAGAUGGAGGCACAUGUCGCCGGAAGCAGAGGGACCAGAGGCCGCCUACCUCGCUCUGGACCAGGGAGCGAAAUGACCUUGACCCCUUCAGAUCUGGCACCAUGGGAAGGAGUGGAGAGGGAGGGGGGGAGUGGGAGCCGGCUAUGGGUUGGAGCGGUGGCGCCAUAGGAGGGAAGAAUGAGGUCGCCUCUCUGGGCCGGCGGCGUGCGUGGGGAACGAAAGGGGCUAGGGUUUCGUGCGUGGGGAAUGAAAGGAGCGUGGAGCAGUGAUGUGCUUGUGAUUUUGAGCGAGAAAACUUCGCGGGCUGAGCCGGUUAUUGGCGCUAAAAAUUGGCUACUUGCGUGCGAGGCCCAUGUAGCAUCGGACUAUCGGUCGGGGUUAUUUACCGACCAAUGGUCUGUUCGCCAUAAUAGAAUUCCCGACCGACUAUUGGACGUUAUAUGUUGUAGUAUUCCCGACCGACAAUAGGUCACUGUACAUAGAUUUUCCGACCCACAGUCUGUUAGAAAUUUUCGUGGCUGACUGUGGGUCGGCAAUAGUGACUUUUUCCCAACAAACGUCGGUAGGGAAUUCUGGUGUGUGGUGUAGUGACAUCCAAGUUUUUACUUAUCACUUUGCUAGCAUUCACAAGUCUAUUGAAGCAUGCAUGUCUUUGUGAAUCUUGCUGUCUACUCCAAGUAGAUGGUGUGUAGCCCGGCAAAGGAUAUUAGUACUUGGUGCAUUCUAAGUUUAAAACCACUCUAGAUUUACAAGUGUUUACUGAAGAUGACAAGUGCUUAUUCAGUUCUAAAUUUGAAGUAGCUAGUAGACGAAUAGUAUUCAUCUUUUUCUGUAUAUGAAGAAGAAUAAACCUAGCUAAUUCAAAUAAUUCCAAUUUUAGGGACAUGUUUUUAUCAACUCUUAGUUAAGGGGUUGUGGCAAUUUUCAGUUUUCAGUUUUGUGUUGCUUGAAUUGAUUCUACAGGAAUAUUUAGGGAAGAGUCAUGGCUAUGCUUAGCUCUCUGUAAAAUGAUGACUGAAAUUGGGCAAUUGGAAACUUUAGGUAUGUUUGCAAUUGGACAAAUGGUGUAUAAAUCCAAAUAAAGCAAGUAAAUUCAAAUGAUUCAAAUAAAUCCAAAUAAACAUGGUUGAUAUUUAAUUUUGCAUAAACCUGGUUGAGUAUUACAGAGUAAUUGACAACAAAUUGACCUGAUUGGAAUUCAUACAGCAAUAGUAACAGUUAACUGAACUUCUUUUGCGUGCAUUUAUCACUCUAGAAAACUUUCAGUAACAAGUGAGCAGCCUCUGCAUUUUCUCAGUGAACUUUUGAGUGCAUUUAUCACUUGUUGGAGUAUGCUACAACUUCUGCAAAUCACAAAAUCCUUUAGUUUACAUCUCAGUUUUAGCAAACACUACAGUUUCAGUAAAGGAGUCAUAACUGAAUUACAGGCACUGUAGUUUCUCUACAGUAUUGGAACACUGAACAUUUUCAGUUAACUGUAGCAAGAAAAACUUCCAAAAACUAGCAGAUCUCCAAGAAUGCCAAGAGUAUUACUCAAUGAAUUUGAUGGCAUCAAACUAAAUUUUCACUAUAAUCUCUUCAUCAUUUAGCAGCAGUGUACAGCCUUUGUCCUGGAUUAUUUCUCUAGCUUUGUAUCUCCUGACUGAAUUUUCUCCGCCUGUAUUGAGAACAGCAAAUUCAGACUCACAGCAACAAAUUGAAUAGCAGCAGUAGCAGAGGCGGGAGUGGCGGCAGAGGCGAGGCAGGGGAAAAGGCAAAAGCAACAUCAGAGGUCCACGGCGCCGGCGUCGUCCACCAGUAGCAGCAUGAGAGGCGGGAGUGGCCGGAAUUGUCCACGGCGCCGGCGGACUAAGCGGACGAAAUCGGAGGCGCAGGUGGGCGGUAAAGGUGGGCGAACGUGGGCGGCGACCUUCAACAUGGCCGGCGGCGUAGCUCGAGGAGGGCGCCGGCGUAGGUCGCCUUCACGGCGGGCGGUUGAGCUGGUAAGCCGCGGCACAGGUGCAAGCGGGCGGCGGCGCUCUUGUUGGUCAUGGGCUGGGCCACGGUUCUGGUGUUGGUCGCGGCGCAGAUCCAGGCAGGCGGUGGCGCAGGUGGGUAGCCGGCGAUGGCAGCAAGGCGCGGGAAACGGGGGAGGAGGAAGGAAGGAGAUGGACUUCUUUGUGACGUGUUUAAAACUCUGUGGGUUUUUUUGCAAAAAAACAAAUACACUGCCCUGUGGACAACUUUUCCCGAACGGAGGGAGUACUAGUUAAAUCCAAGCUAUGGGUGUGAAGCACUGAUAUGCGAGUACAUUUGAUUGUGACCUGUUCUAAUUUUGUACCUGAACUUUUUUUAGAAAGGCUUGUACCUCAACUUAAUGUGCUAGCAGAACUUAUUGUGUUGUCUGUCUGUUUUCUUUGCACAACAUUCAAGAUAUUUCCCCAUCAUUGAUGAAGACGAUGAACCGUUAUGUACGACUUCGUUGAUUUCAACAUAGCCCUUCCCGUAGCGAUCCACUGCUUCCAUCCUGAUUGUGCCGCCUGCGUGAAAUUUUUGUAUGCAAGUUCAGCGUGCUAUGAUGUUCUAUAUGAUUGUGUCAACUAUAUAAGUUUUUACUGAGCAUCAGCAAUGCAUAUGGCUGAAAGAUGUAUUUACGAGCAUCGACCGAUGGGUCUCUCUCUCUAUCUCUCUCUCUCUCUCACACACACACACACACGCACACACACGCACAGACGCACAAGUGGGACCCGUUGAAUUAUUUAUUUGCUCGUGACAGCUUUUAAUUAGGUUCCACUAUAAUCUAACUUUUUUCUUAAGUUAUUAAUUGAGCUCAUUGACUUCAAAAAGUUGUACAGAAGCCUUGUUUGGGCCUUUCCGGUGUCACUGAAUGUGGGCUGAGUAACCAUGUUAGGUUGUACUGUACUACAUAGGCCUUUUUUUCAACAUCAGCAAUGCAACUGGGCCGACAGUUGUACACAAUAUCCGGGUCAACUUGUUAUUCUCUGCCCCGCUGGGCUGCAAACUUUCCUAGGAGGUAUGCAUUAGGCUUAACAAGAAAAUGGACUUUAAGAAAUAAUAAAUGGGAUGUAAUUAUAAUAACUGGACAGUUACUAUGCACCAAACACGUAAUUAGUUUGAAAAAUAUAUUAUUUUUGGAAUUUGAAAAUUUUAAUUUUAUUACUUUUUGCGCGCGCAAUAUUUCGUUGGAUUUUAACGUAAUACAACUUUAUUUUGAAAUUAUAUUUGACCUCACUAGAAAUUUCGGAUAAAAAUAUUUCGGAUCCCAUCAAAAUGUGGGAAUUUUUUUUGAAUUCUGUUUUGAGCGGUUGUUUGAAAUUAUUAAUCGUUGUCCUAGCUAUAAGGUGGGUUGUACUUUUAACAAACUGUAAAUGGGCUGUACUAAAUUCCAUUAGAAUUAAAAAAUGGUCUGUACAUUCUUACAAAUCACAAAUGGGCUAUAUGUUCUCUGCCAAAUCCGAGCUGUGGGCCUACUAAGUUGACGCGUACCAAGGGCUUUGUCAACUUAGUCAAUAUAAACGAUUCUAGCUGCAGUGAUCGUACAAUGUGCAUCCAAUGGACGUAGUGCUUCUUCAACCUCUGGUCUUCUUGCUCCAGCCGCCCAAAGUAGCGCCCAAUGUGUCGCGUGCUCCUGCCACCCGUGGCCGGCUGUGAUGCCGCAGAGGCCUCACAGCCCCAUACUACUCCCACCGCUGGCCAGGCCAUCCCUCUACUCACCCACACCCCCUGUUAUUCUGCGGCAACGGCAGCCUCACACCGCAGCCGAACUAGUGAACCCUCGUACUCCUCUCUGCACAGGCUUCCACUGCUGCGUCUUCCCCGGCUCCGCGGCGUCCCCUUCCUAGGCCUCGCCAUCGUCCAGACCACCGCCCUGGUGCUCUCGGCGCGGCGUGGUCAACGUGGUCAACGACCGACUUCCAUCGGAAGAGUACUAUACGUGGAGAGGCUGACAGCUGGGUCCAGGCGGCCGCAAGGAAGUGCCUCCUUAUUACGCACAAAAUAAUUAUUCCUCCACCUGACAGCAGGGACCCACCAGACGGGCCACCUUAUUUCGUGAAAAAAAUGUUUCCCCCCUGACUGCUGGGACCCACCGGACGGGCCAGCGUAUUUCACGAAAAAAACGUUCCCCCCGCUGUCAUCUCGGACCCACAGGAAGUGCCUCCUUAUUACGUACAAAAAAAAUGAAUACUCCCCCUGCUAGCUGGGACCCACCAUGGUGGGAGGCUGACUUGUGGGCCUACUAAGUUGAUUGGGAUGGGGGCCUUUGUCAACUUUAGUCAAUAUGAACGAUUCUAGCUCCAGUGAUCGUACGAUGUCCAUCCAACGGCCGUAGUGCUUCUUCAACCUUUGGUCUUCUUGCUCCAGCCGCCCAAAGCAGCGUCGGUCGUGCCGCGUGCUCCUGCCUCCCGUGGCCGGUUGUGCUGCCGCGGAGGCCUCACCGCCCCCUACUAUUCCCACCGCUGGCCAGGCCCUACGGCGACGGAAGCCUCACACCGCAGCCGAACCAGUGAACCCUCGUACUCCUCUCCGCGCGGGCUUCCACUGUCGCGUCUUCCUCGGCUCCCCGUCGUCCACCGCCCUGGUGCUCUCGGCAUAGCAUGGUCAACGUGGUGAAGGAACAACUUCCAUCGGACGUGGACUAUACGUGGAGAGGCUGACAGCUGGGUCCACGGCCGCAGCAAGGAAGUGCCUCCUUAUUACGCGGAAAAUAAUUAUUCCUCCACCUGACAGCUGGGACCCACCGGACGGGCCACUGUAUUUCGCGAAAAAAAACGUUUCCCCCUGACUGCUGGGACCCAUCAGCUACAUCUUCGCACGCAAGGAAGUGCGUCCGGGCAAAAAAAUGAUUCGCCCCCCUGACUACUGGGACCCACCAUCUACAUCUUCGCAGGCAAGGAAGUGCCUGACAGUUGGGACCCACCUGGUCGAAGCAUACGUAGCGUUGUCAUUCUGGUCGUGAACAUGUACGUACAUAUAUACUGGUGGAUGUAGAGGCGCGCACGUGUCAUAGUAGAGGCACGUACGUGUCGUAGUAGAGGCGCGCACGUAGCAUGUACACAUACGUACAGCGGCCAGGGUGCAAGAAAGAAAAUACGGUCAUGUAUGUGUACAUACGGGCGGGGUCUCGAACGCCUACUCGCGCAUACGUACGGCCAGGGCUCGUGUACAUGUCUCGGUCGGAACGGAGAAACAUCGUCGUCGUCGUGUUCAUGGGGAGGCAACGAAAUGCGUCGUGUUCAUAGGGAGGCAACGGAAUGCAUCGUGUUUAUCGGGAGGCAACGGAACGCAUGGGAGCCAAUCGGCUGGGUUGGAACGGAAUGCGUGGUCGUGUUCAUCGGGAGGGCUUGGACGGAACAGGCGAUGGAAACGAGGCCUGGCGUACCGCACAACGGAGGAAAUGGACCUCCUACAUUCGGAACGGGGUCCUGUUGAUCGGGAGGGGUCUGGCGUACCGCAAAACGGAGGAAACGGACCUCCUACGGUCGAAACGGGGGUCCUGUUGAUCGGGAGGGGUGUGGCGUACCGCAAAACGGACGAAACGAACUUGUGUUGGAGCGCUACGGUCGAAACGGGGGUCCUGUUCAUCGGGAGUGGUGUGGCGUACCGCAAAACGGACUCCACGAGAUACUGUUCAUCUCCACCGUCGACCUCCUCUAGCAUCCACGGGCUACCGUCGACCUCCUCCAGCCUCCACGGGCUCCUAUUCAUCCAUCCUCCACCGCGCGCUACUCCACCGACUACUGUUCAACCACCCCUCCACCGUCUACUGUUCAUCCAGCCCUCCACACCAUGGGGUCCUGUUCAACCACCCCUCCAUGGGCACGCCUCCACCGUCUACGGUUCAUCCGGCCCUCCACCACACCACGGGGUCCUGUUCAUCUAGAGGCAAUGCCACCGCUCACUGUUCAUCCACCCCCCCCUGCAACGCUCACUGUUCAUCCCAGAGGCAGCAUCGAUCGGCUUCAGUUAGCAGCUGUAGUGAAGGAAUCGCUCGAUUGGGUUCAGUUAACAACCAUCAGUCGAUCGCUCGGGUUCAGUAACGCGUAGCCUGCAGUGCAAUCGCUCGGGUUCAGUUAGAGCCCAACGCCUUGCUCGGGUUCAGUUAGAGCCAACGCCUCGCACACGCGCGCGUACGUGUACCAGAGAAACGCGCAUCGCUCGGCCCCCGACCUCCCACCGUAAUCGGGAACUCCCCGAAAUUUUCCUUCCCCUUGCUUCUACCACGGUUUUUUCCAUCAUGGACGGCCCAAAGAAUGUCAUGCAGCUGCGUCUCUGGCCCGCCCAGGACGAAAAGCCCAUUUUCUGUCAUGAUUUUUUGUCAUAGAAGUAGGAGCCCACCACAUCUAUGAUGAUACCGGGUUUUGUCACAAUUAUCGUCAUAGAAGUGUCAUAUGUAUGACAAAAAAAUUCGUUCGACCCAAAAUGUCACGGAUGUGUCUUUUUUUGUAGUGCUAGCUAGGCAUAAAAACAAGAAUGGAUCUAGGUAUUAUCAUCUUUGGUAGGCAAUUCUUCAAUAGAACACUUAUAACCCUUGGGAGUUUCCUUCUUUUUAUUAAUGAUCAAACUCCUAGGUAAGAAAUCAAGAAAUUCAUUUAAGCAAAAGGUUCCUUAAUGACAGCGAAGAAGUUGGGGUCAACACUUAUUGAUCUGAGAUCCGCAUUUUCCUUACUAGAAGAUUCACCCUUAUUUUUAGGAACAUACAUUAAUUUGGCAAUUUUGGUAGUAGGAGGAUUUGGAGUAUUUUUCACGGAUGAAAAGGCAGACCCUAAAUUGGUAAUAAUAUGCUCAAGUUUACCAAUUCUUGUGGAAUCUGGAUCUAUUCUUUCGUUAACUAUAGGUUCUUUUUCUUUAAAAAAUUAGAGUAACUCCUACCUUAGAUCCAUAUUGGAUGAUUUGGUUGUCGAUCUUUUUAUCCAAAUUUUCAAUCAACUCCACAGAGGCAAAUUUAUUUUCAAUAAUUUCAAGCCUUUCCAUCACAUUUUCCAAAGUUAAAAUAGUUCCAUUAACCAAAAGAGGUGGUGGCCCAAACAAAUCUAUCAUAGCAUUAUAAGAAUCAAAAGUAUGGCUACCCAAGAAAUUCCCUCCGGUAAUGGUAUCAAGAAUAUAUCUGUUCCAAGGAGUGAUGCCUACAUAAAAAUUGCAAAGAAGAACGGAAGUGGAUUGCUUCCUAGUAGAUCUAUUCUGAGCAUUGCAAAUUCUAUGCCAAGCAUCUUUUAGAUUUUCUCCCUCCCUUUGUUUAAAAUUAAGAACUUCAUGAUCGGGAGUACUAACAAUGAUAGAAGGAUUAGCCAUGACGACACACGGCGACACAAGAAGCAAGCAAAAAGGAGGCGAACGGAAAAGGAGGGCGAAUAAAACGGCAAGGGUGAUGUGGGGGAGAGGAAAAUGAGAGGCAAAUGGCAAAUAAUGUAAUGCGAGGGAUAAGAGUUUGUGAUGGGUACUUGGUAUGUCUUGACUUGUGCGUAGAUCUCCCCGGCAAUGGCGCCAGAAAUGGCUUGUUGACGGGAGAUCAAAUCUUGACUUGACUUGGUGCAACCUCCCCGGCAACGGCGCCAGAAAUCCUUCUUGCUACCUCUUGAGCACUCUGUUGGUUUUCCCUUGAAGAGGAAAGGGUGAUGCAGCAAAGUAGCAUAAGUAUUUCCCUUAGUUUUUGAGAACCAAGGUAUCAAUCCAGUAGGAGACUACACGUAAGUCACCUCGCACCUACACAAACAAAUAAGAACCUUGCAACCAACGCGAUAAAGGGGUUGUCAAUCCCUUCACGGUUGUUGCAAAAGUAAGAUCUGAUAGAGAUAAUAGAUAAAUAUUUUUGGUAUUUUUACGAUAUACAUUGAAAGUAAAGAUUGCAAAGUAAAAUAGAUUGGAAACUUAUAUGAUGGAAAAUAGACCCGGGGGCCAUAGGUUUCACUAGUGGCUUCUCUCAAGAUAGCAUAAGUAUUACGAUGGGUAAACAAAUUACUGUCGAGCAAUUGAUCGAAAAGUGCAUAAUUAUGAUAAUAUUUAGGCAUGAUCAUGUGUAUAGGCAUCACGUCCGCGACAAGUAGACCGAAACGGUUCUGCAUCUACUACUAUUACUCCACACAUCGACCGCUAUCCAGCAUGCAUCUAGAGUAUUAAGUUCGUAAGAACAUAGUAACGCAUUAGGCAAGAUGACAUGAUGUAGAGGGAUAAACUCAAGCAAUAUGAUAUAAACCCCAUCUUUUUAUCCUCGAUGGCAACAAUACAAUACAACACGUGCCUUGCUACCCCUGCUGUCACUGGGAAAGGACACUGCAAGAUUGAACCCAAAGCUAAGAACUUCUCCCAUUGCAAGAAAGAUCAAACUAGUAGGCCAAACCAAACUGAUAAUUCUAAGAGACUUACAAAGAUAACAAAUCAUACAUCAAAGAUUUCAAAGAAGAAUCAAAUAUUGUUCAUAGAUAAUCUUGAUCAUAAACCCACAAUUUAUCAGAUUUCGACAAACACACCGCAAAAAUAAUUACAUCGAAUAGAUCUCCAAGAAGAUCAAGGAGAACUUUGUAUUUAGAUCCAAAGAGAGAGAAGAAGCCAUCUAGCUAAUAACUAUGGACUUGAAGGUCUGUGGUAAACUACUCACACAUCAUCGAAGAGACUAUGGUGUUGAUGUAGAAGCCCUCCGUGAUCGACUCCCCCUCCAGUGAAGCUCCGGAAAAGGCCCCAAGAUGGGAUCUCUUGGGUACAGAAGGUUGCGGCGGUGGAAAUAGGGUUUUGUGGUGCUCUCGGAUGUUUUCGGGGUAUGUGAGUAUAUAUAGGCGAAAGAAGUCGAUCAGGGGAGCCACGAGGGGCCCACGAGGGUGGGGGCGCGCCUGACCCCCUGGGAACGCCUCCCUGCCAGGUGGCCUCCUCGAUGCUUCAUUGACGUCCACUCCAAGUCUCCUGGAUUGCGUUUGUUCCAAAAAUCACUCUCGCAAAUAUUUCAUUCCGUUUGGAUUCCGUUUGAUAUUCCUUUUCUGCAAAACACUGAAAUAGGCAAAAAAAUAGCAAUUUGCACUGGGCCUUUGCUUAGUAGGUUAGUCUCAAAAAUGAUAUAAAAAGGUAUAUUAAAGCCCAUUAAACAUCCAAAACAGAUAAUAUAAUAGCAUGGAACAAUCAAAAAUUAUAGAUAUGUUGGAGACGUAUCAGUAUUGCUGACACACACAGUACUCGAGGAUUUAUAACAGAGUUCAAUCACACACUUAUUACAUCGAAUGUCUCAAAAGAGAACUUAUUACAAUAAUAUGGCUGAAGGCCAUCUAAAUAAGAUAACAGCGGAAGCUUUGAAGGUAGAAGAGUCCAUCCAACUCCACGGCAAAACUGAGUGCAUGACAACGACCUGGCGCAGCUUACUGGUCGUCUAAAAACUCUGCAACAUAAUAUGUCGCAGCCUAUGUAGGUCAGCACAUGGAAUAUGCUGCCAAGAUAACACUAUGGAGCAAUGAACAAGUAACAACUAUCACUACAUGCAUAUUUUGGCUGGAGGAGGCUCUAUGGUUAAAUUUUUGCAUAAAGCUAUUUUUCCCUACAACAAAGGAAUAUGUUUUAUUUAACUACAAAGUUGGUUGAAAACAUUGAGAAGGUAACCCCAACUCAAUCCUAGUUAAAAGAUAACAACCCCACAAGUUAAUUAAGUAGAGUGAUGAGAUCAACAUAAUAAUUCAAGUACCAGAUACUCGAGAUGUCCAUAACCGGGGACACGACUAAUCAUGAUUAGUUUGUACGUACACUCUGCAAAGGUUUGAGCACUUUUCCCCACAAGACUCGAUCUCCUCCGUGGUAUUUCUCGCACUGCAAGGUGUUUGAGAAACGGAUGACCGAGACACAUUCUUUCCGAAGAGGUCCCCUUAACCGAUAGAUAGGCCGGUACACCUACAAUCCCCUACAUCUGCUAGCCCAUCAUGGAAAGGAUUCCCACAACUUACUCAACUAUGCGAGAGCCCAUAAUGGCAUGUGGCUGCACACGGAAGUUUCUAGCAUGAAUAAUCUUAUGAUCCCUUUGAGCCUGGGUGCGAACCAUAGGAUGAUCACACGGGUACCCCGGGAUCUCCUUGGACAACACUGGAUUCCCCAGGUGCCCACACACCAAUCCACCCAGAUGUGUAUUAAAGUAGCCACCUUAAGUUAAACCUUAGUUAACAAUAACUCACAUCUUUCAUGAAUUCUCUCAAAACCAAACCACAUCUACGAGCAUAGCAUAGCAAUAUAAGCAUAACGUAGUAGCUCCCCAGGGUUUGAUGUAAGUUAAUAGGUUCUACCUCAUCAACUACUUCCCAAUACCCACAUGUUAUCAAAUCCUACUCAUGCAAUGUUUGAGGGUUGAAACUAAUGCAUAAAACUGGGUAUUAAAGGGGUAUGAUCAAAGUGUUACUUGCCUUGCUAACGAUCGGAAAACCCUAGAGAUUCUUAGUAGCAAGCCUCGCACUCCGAAAACUAUAUCAUGAACAAACAAUAGCAUACAUAAGCACUCAAGCAUAAUAUGCAAGUGUAAAACUCAAAAGAAAAGAUCCAAACUAAAAGUACUAGUGAAGAGCUUCGAUUUACAAAAAGAAUAAAUCGAAUCGGAGUUACGAAACUCAAACUACAAUCAAAAUAAGUUCAAAUUCAAAUCUGCUUGAAACCAAAUUUUAAAUUGUCAAAACCAUGUUCAAGUUGAUUAUAUGGAAAGAGGGGAACAAGAUGAAGACUUUGGCGUUGGUCUCAUAGGAUUUGGAUAAAUGAACAAAAAGUAACAAGGGUUUGAAGAUCAGGGACUAAUCUGUAAGAAAAGUAUUUGCGGAUAGGUCCCUUGCCGAAAAUAAAACUAAAAAGAAAAACCUAACGAACGAACGUUUGUAAAUAGAGGCUAACGAACGAAUAUGUUCGCUAACUGAGAGUAACGGGUGAGCGAUGGCUAAUUAACCUAAUAAAAAAAUAAAAAAACCGAUCUCAUCUAAAUUAAAAAGAAAAACGAACAAAAACCGAAGAAAACUGAAUGGUUUUUGUACCGGUCAACCGCGGCGGCGAGGUCAACGGCGAGGUGGCGAAAUCCGACGACGGUGAGGCGAGGCGGGGCUCCGCGGCGACUGCGGUGGCUGGCGGCGGCGAGCGGCAGCAGCAGGCGGCAGCGGUGAGGCGAUGAGGAGGCGGGGUGGCUGGCCUUAUAUAGGGCACGAGGGGGGCCUUGCUUGCGGGAGGAGGAGGCGGCGAGGUGGAGUCCGAGCCGGACUCCAUGGCGGCGGCGGUCGGGACUCUCGAGCGGGAAGCGGCGGUGCUCGGCUGGGCCUCUGGCCCAGUUCGGUCCGACGGAGUUUUUUUUUUAAAAAAUCUUCGCGAAAGAAAAUAUUAAUAAAAUAUAAAAAAAUCUAAAAAUACCAGAAACAAUUUUCACCGUCCAGACCUAAUAUUUAGGACAAGAUGAACAUUUUUCUGGACGAAAAUGCAAUUUUCAAAAAUGCAUGUUUUCUCUAAUCAAAUAAAAUAGCCAUAAAAUACGAAUAAAAUAAUAAUUUGAUUUUUUUGAAAAAAAAUCUUCUCCAAUAUUUCUCUGUUGUUGAAGAAGUCAUUUUAUCUUCUCUCAUUUAUUUUUGUUAUUGGAAAUAAUUGGAGAGAAAUUAUAAAAUCAAAUUGAUCCUCUUUUCAAAUUUGGAAAUAAAUUCAAAUAGGAAAAUUUGUGAAACCUCCAACUCUCUCCUUUGGUCCUUGAGUUGCUUAAUAUUUCUAGGAUCACAACCAAAUGCAAAUAAAUAUACGAUAUGUAUAUGAUGUCCUAUGUAUAACAUCUAAAUUGAAAAUUGGGAUGUUACAUGUCCAGGGCUCACGCUCAUGUAUUGGGCGAAGAUUGAAAAAAUUGAGAACAUCAAAAGUAUGAAACAAUUGCUUGGCUUGUCAUUGGGGUUGUGCAUGAUUUAAAUGUUUUGUGUGAUGAAGAUAGAACAUAGCCAGACUAUAUGAUUUUGUAAGGAUAACUUUCUUUGGCCAUGUUAUUUUGAGAAGACAUGAUUACUUUGUUAGUAUGCUUGAAGUAUUACUGUUUUCAUGUCAAUAUUAAAUUUUUGUUUUGAAUCUUAUGGAUCUGAAUAUUCUUGCCACAAUAGAUAAGAUUACAUUUAUAAAUAUGUUAAGUAGCAUUCCACAUCAAAAAUUCUAUUUUUAUCAUUUAUCUACGCGAGGACGAGUAGGAAUUAAGCUUGGGGAUGCUGAGACAUCUCCAACGUAUCUAUAAUUUUGAUGCAUUCAUGCCAUUUUAUAAUAUUUUUACAUGAUUUUGGUAUGAUUUGGUUAGAACUAACCCGGACUAACGCUGUUUUCGGCGAACUACCGUGGAGUUGUUUUUGUGUAGAAAUAGAAGUUCUCGGAAUGCGCCGAAAAUCAACAGAGAUUUUUUUUUGGAAAAUAUAAAAAAUACUGGAAUGGAGAGUUACCGAAGGGGAGUCCCGUGGGCCCCUAGAGGGUGGAGGGUGCGCCCCCUACCUCGUGGACUCCCUGUGGGGCCCCAGACUUGUUCUCAACGCCAACCUCUCCUAUAAAUCCCCAAACUUCCAGAACUUAACCUAGAUCGGGAGUUCCACCGCCGCAAGCCUCUGUAGCCACCAAAAACCAAUCGGGACCCUAUUCCGGCACACUGCCGGAGGGGGGUUCCAUCACCGGUGGCCAUCUUCAUCAUCCCAGCGCUCUCCAUGACAAGGAGGGAGUAGUUCACCCUCGGGGCUGAGGGUAUGUACCAGUAGCUAUGUGUUUGAUCUCUCUCUCUCUCUCUCGUUUUCUUGAUAUGGCACGAUCUUGAUGUAUCGCAAGGUUUGCUAUUCUAGUUGGAUCUUAUGAUGUUUCUCCCCCUCUAUCUCCUUGUGAUGAAUUGAGUUUUCCCUUUGAAGUUAUCUUAUCGGAUUGAGUCUUUAAGGAUUUGAGAACACUUGAUGUAUGUCUUGCAUGUGCUUAUCUGUGGUGACAAUGGGAUAUUCACGUGAUCCACUUGAUGUAUGUUUUGGUGAUCAACUUGCGAGUUGUGUGCCCUUGUGAACUUAUGCAUAGGGGUUGGCACACGUUUUCGAUUGUGUUGGCUGGUUGAAUAGAUGAAUUUGAGAUUGUGUGAUGCAUUUCGUAUAAUCAAACUCACGGAUACUUGAGGUGACAUUGGAGUAUCUAGGUGACAUUAGGGUUUUGGUUGAUUUGUGUCUUAAGGUGUUAUUUUACUACUGACUCUAGGGUUGUUUGUGACAUUUAUAGGAAUAGCCCAAUGGAUUGAUCGGAAAGAAUAACUUUGAGGUGGUUUCGUACCCUACAAUAAUCUCUUCGUUUGUUCUCCGCUAUUAGUGACUUUGGAGUGACUCUUUGUUGCAUGUUGAGGGAUAGUUAUAUGAUCCAAUUAUGUUAUUAUUGUUGAGAGAACUUGCACUAGUGAAAGUAUGAACCCUAGGCAUUGUUUCAACGCAUUGUUAUACCGUUUUUGCUCACUUUUAUCAUUAGUUACCUUGGUGUUUUUAUAUUUUCAGAUUACAAAAACAUGUAUCUACCAUCCAUAUUGCACUCGUAUCACCAUCACUUCACCGAACUAGUGCACCUAUACAAUUUACCAUUGUAUUGGUUGUGUUGGGGACACAAGAGAUUGUUUGUUAUUUGGUUGCAGGGUUGUUUGAGAGAGACCAUCUUCAUCCAAUGCCUCCCAUGGAUUGAUAAACCUUAGGUCAUCCACUUGAGGGAAAUUUGCUACUGUCCUACAAACCUCUGCACUUGGAGACCCAACAACGUCUACAAGAAGAAGGUUGUGUAGUAGACAUCAAAGACCACUAUCCACAUCUCCAGAAGUGAAGCCCUAUUUCCAUACAACCAAUCAUGAUACUUAGAUUAAUCAUCACCACCAAAAAAAUUCCUGCUGGUAUAAACAAGAAAAGUACAAAACAGAAAAAUGAGCAUGUAUGGCCAACGGGUAUGAACAAGAACAAUGAGCUGAUUAGUAUGGAAGGAAAGAGGAGGACCGUGGGGACGAACUGUUGUUGCUGGAGUUGCGACGCCUCCGACGAGGAGGAGCGGACUAUGGGACGACAAGGACUUGGAAGUGGCGAGAAGCACGACGUCGUCCCCCUUCCCCCUCCUCUAGUGGCAGCUGGCCCAUCAACAGCCUUGUUGCUCCUUCCCUCACCUCCGUCCCCAUCACCAGCCUUACUGCUCCUUCCCUCACCUCCGUCCCCUGACUGGUCACCACCAUUGCUGCUCCUUCCCCCACCUCUGUUCCUCACCUCAACUGCGCAGAUCUGGCUGCAGAUCAUCCUCUGUGACCUAGAGCAGCAGAUGAUGAGGCCGGCUGGACGAGGAAGAGGAGAGGCUCACGGUAGGGGGCGGGAUGGAUGAAUGAAAGGGCGGUGGCAUGCAGAGAAUUGAGGGAGACGAGGCAACGACGCCUGAGGGUAUGAUGGUCGCGGUGACGCGGGGCUCAAAGAAGGUAGGCGAUUGGGCCUCUGGGACAGGAUGAGAGGGGAUUGGGCUAGGUUUCACCACAACCGCAAUUUUGCAUAGGACACUCUUUUGGACUCGAACCCACAUUUCAACGCAGGUCCGUGAGGAAGGAUGGCCCAGCCAUCAUCCGCUCAAACCAAAAACCAUGAUGUGAAGUAAAAUAGAUGUUCAAAUGUUUAACAGAGAGUAUAAAAGGACCAAAAACUUUACAACAAGGUGAAUUGAGCGAGCCAGAUCACUUGUGUGACACAAAUGCCCCAGGUGAGCGGGUGGCAUAGCAUGGUUUAUAGGUUAGAUAGCACCAAACCCCUGUCAACUUCGUUUUAUGAAUAUUAAACGGCUUAUUUUGGGACCUGCCGGUGCCAAGAAAUGACGAUCUAAUGCUCCUGUAGGAAACUAGAGACUGUGUAAAUGUGAAUCAGUUUUUUUCUUUUGAGGGAAACUGUGAAUCAUUUCUAGUAUAGAGUAUUGCCACACUACUCGUGAAUCUGGGACCAACAUCAAAUCUAUAUUUUUUAACCCAACAUAUGCCCUGUUAUUCAAAACUUCCAACUUUCAUCGUAUGUACGUACUUUCUCUAUGUCACAUUUGAAGCACAUGGAAUGAUAUUGUAUUCUGCUCAUGACAGCGGUGGAACAAGACAAACCAACUUUCACAACUGGAGUUAAAGGAUGAAAACAAAUACUCUUUGCGUUCAUAAUUCUCGUCGUGGUUUUAAUUCAAAUUCUAGUACAAAAUGAAGGACUGAACUUGCAUUGCAUUGUAAUAGCCUAAGAAUACUAUCAAUGGUUUCAUAUGCUUCAGCUGCCUACACUUAAGUUUCUGCAAACCAAGCUCAAUUCCUUAUUCAUUCACAACAAGUUUCAUCUCAAAGUGAUUCUCUCACUCGGAGUAGUUUUCAUCACAGGGUUAAUGUCAUGAGUUUACUAAAAUUUGUACUUACCAAAGAUUUUAAUAAGUUGCCCGAUCCCCUAGGGUCCAUAAUAUUUGAGGAAUAUAAAAAGAUACAGCAGGAAAUGUGGUAAAUAUAUUCCUAGCCAUAACAUUUACUUUUAAACAAUUAAGAAAGGUACAUACAAGUAUUCAAGCUCAAAGAUCUAUGAAGAAAUCCGAUUAUAAUAUAAAAUGUGCUUUCUGCAUAUAUUAUCUAAGCAUGGAUAAUAAGUUCACAUGUAGCUUAUGCUUAAAACAAGCUUGUACCUCCUAUCUAAGAGCCACUAAUCAGAAGUGGAGACAGGAAGUAGAGUUUCAACCAGAAGAAAGAAUACUAUCUAGUAGGAUUAGAAACUUAGAAAAUAGAAUAAACAAACAAGAAGUAGAGCUAGAAAAACUAGAAGAUGGGUUAGAGAAUAGUAAAGAGCGAGAAGAUAAUGUUGCUAAAAGCACGAAGAUUAAAUAACAAAGGGUAACAACAAGAGAUAAAAAUGGAGAGAAAUUAAUACCAUUAAAAGAUGCAAUAACUAGUUUUGGAAGUAAAUAUAUCGUUUGGUUACCAUUCAAAGAAGUGCUAGGGAUAAGGAUCCCAGUUAGAAUAGUUUUGAGGCCAAAUAUUUCCUAUAGAAUAUUGGUGCUAUUAGAUACGGGUUGCACAAAGAACAUCAUCCAUGAUAAAUAUUUUGUGAGAUGUCCCUAAAUAAUUGAAACCAUAGAUGAUAAUAAAGCCGAAGUAUCUACUGAUAUGUCUGGAAUAAAGAAAAUCCAUAACCAAUUGGCAAAUAAUAUUGAAGAUUACAUAAAUGGCACGAAAUAUAUAAUAGAUAAUAUUACAAUAACAGAUUUAUCAGUGAUAAAUGGUGAUAUGGUAAUAGGGUUAAGAUUUCUACAACAAUCUUCAAAACUCAUAAUUAUACAUGGACAAGGGGUUACAUUUAUUCCAUAUCAAGAUAAUGUUCCAGACAUAUCCGAAGUAUGGAAACAAAGAAAGGCUUUACAAAAUGUACAAGUAUCGAAUUUAGAUGAUGAAUAUAGCACAAUUAAGACCCCCUUGAUUUCUGUAAAGAAGAAGAACUUAGUGAGACCAUAGAAGAAUAUCAUAUAGAAAAUACAUGUACAUAAUGUAUAGGGUUACAAUCAUUCUCGCCAAAUUGGCAUAGAGAUAUAAAAUCCAAAAAAUAUAUAGACAAGAUUGUACAAAGACUAGAUAAUAUACAAAUUAUUGGGGAAAUACCAAUGAAAUAUUGGGAAAAGAACUCUAUAGUUUGCAAAAUUAAUAUCAUAAACCCGGAUUAUAUAAUUAAUUCAGGACCAAUAGAAGCUACUCCUAAAGAGUUUGAAGAGUUCGGAAUGCAUAUUGAAGUGUUGCUAAAAUUAAAAGCAAUUAGAGAAAGUAAAAUUCCUCAUCGGUCUACUGCUAUUAUAGUUAGAAAUCAUGCUGAAGAGGUAAGAGGUAAAUCCAGAAUGGUAAUUAAAUUUAAAAGGCUUAAUGAUAAUAUGAUAGAAGAUGCAUUCAAAUACCUAAUAAGCAGGAAUGGACUAAAAGAAUACAAGGAAGCAAAUGUUUCUCUAAAUUUGAUUUAAAAGUGGGAUUUUGGAAAGUAAAAAAUGGCCGAAGAAUCUAUCCCUUGGAGAACAUUUACCUGUCCACAAGGUCAUUAUGAAUGUCUAGUGAUGCCAUUUUGCCUAAAGAAUGCUCGUGUGCUAUUUCAAAGGAAAAUGCAAAAUAUAUUUAAAGAUAAUUAAGCAUUUAUAUUUGUAUAUGUAGAUGAUUUAUUAGUAUUCUCAAAGUCAUACAAAUGGCAUAUAGCCCAUCUUGAAUUGUUCUUUCGGAAGGUAGAACAAAAUGGGCUUAUAUUAUCCAAAAAGAAGAUGGAAAUUUGGAAGGAAGAAAUAAAUUUCCUUGGUCAUGAAAUAGGAGAAGAAAAAUACAUUUACAAGAACAUAUUGCAAAGAAAAUAUUGUUGUUUCCUGAUAAUAUGAGUGAUAAAAAGAUUUUACAACAAUUAGAAGGAACUGUAAACUAUGCAAGAAACUAUAUAGAUAACUUAGCAAAGAUAGCCGGACCUUUAUAUGCUAAAUUAAGAAAAAAAUGGUCAAAGAUAUUUCAAUUCUGAAGAUAUAAAACUAAUAAAAGCCAUCGAGGAAAAAUUCAAGAAUUUUAAACCCAAUAGAACUUCCUUUAGAAAAGAAAUACUUUAUAGUUGAAACAGAUGCAUCCAAGGUAGGAUGGGGAGCUAUACUAAAACAAAAGCCUAAUAAAUAUUCUCCAAAAGAAAAAGAAAAAAUAUGAAGAUAUGCUUCAGGAAGUUAUAAAUUAGAGACAUUAAAUAAUAUUGAUAGGGAAAUCCUUGCAGUAGUAAAUGCAAUAAAUGCCUUUAGGCUAUUUCUAGGAUUCAAAGAAUUCACAGUAAGGACAAACUACGAAGCUAUAUGUCGAUAUUACAAUGAAAUUAAUAGUAAGAAAAGCACAAUAAGAAGACGGGUCUUAUUUGGAGAUACUAUAGCCGAGAAUGGAUAUAACAUAAUAUUUGAGCAUAUUAAAUGUAAAGAUCAUAGUUUACCUAACAUAUUUUCUCGUUCAUAGGUUUUACAAAAAUAAAGAAAGGGACACUCGGCGGUGAAGUGAAUGUCUUUAUAUUUUAAGAUGAUAAUAAAUUGAAACUAUUUCCACCAAAUACAUUCAAUAUCAAACCGAAGAGCCAUAUCCGUAUUGAUGAGAUCCAAUGAUGCUUAUUGGAUAAUCUUUGGUAUCGAUACAUAGUGAAUAGAGAAGAGAAAGGAUACAUGUUAUCUCAUCUCAAUAGUCUCAAAAUAUUCCAAAGUCAGGAAAAAUUGAAGUACGGAACGAAGAACCUUUAUGUAUUAUGUUUGAUGGAAGUAAACCAGGAAUAUAUGUGUCAUGGGAAGAAGUUCAAAUAGAGAAGUUUGCAGCAGAAUGAAGAAACGAAGAGCUAGCAUUCUAAGAUAUGAUAAUAUCAAUGAUCCCUUGAAAUGGGCAACGUACAUAAUAUGACAAGAUUAUUAUAUUGACCUGAAGGCUAAAGAAUAUAUCCGGAAGCAAAGAGGCAUAGAUAAAAAAUAUACCCGCUUCAGCAACUCCUACAAAGGGAGAAGCAUCAAUCUCGAAAAAUAUAAAGAAGGAAGAAUCCCCAAAAUAUCAUACAUAUCAAGAAUGCCUUCCAAAAGGAAUUGACCCUCUAGGUAGUGAAUACAUAGAUCAAAAAUUGGAUAAAAGAAUUGAAGAAUUGUCAAAAAUAAUAAAGAAAGAAUUAAAAGAGGAAAUCCUAUAAGAAUUAAGACAAGAAAUAGAUGCAAAUUUUGAAGAAAUAAAGAAAGAACGUGAUAGAAAAUAUAAUUUCCAUCUGUCUGAUGAAGAUCGCAUGGACAUAUUUGGGCAUAGGCAGCCUAUUGAAUAGAAAUCCAUAUACCUAAAUUGAUAUUAUCAAUUAUUUCGGUGUGAAGGACCUAUACCCAAAUAUUGAUAAACAAGAAUAUUGAUAAAGUAUUAUCAAUAAUAUGGGUGGGGUAGGCGCAUACAAAAAAACUACAUCACAAAUAUUUCUGCAAGAAGCAAAGCAUGAUUCGCAUCACGAAAGGUUAAGGAGAGGAGUUAAACUUAAUUCCUCAAUUAACACAAGUGCCUUCAUGCAAGUUCAAAUAUUGAGCCAUGCAUUGAUGCCUUAUAUUAUACUAUAAGGCAUACAAUGGUGCAUGCAAGGCCUGGCAUUAAAAAUCAUGGCGAGAGCUGCGAUGGAGAGAAGAGGUUCGGUUUGGACAAAGUUCUCAGUCUAGACAAAGUUCUUGGUCUAAUCGUAUAUUAACCUAAUUAAAAUCGGAUAUAACAUUUAUGAAUUUAAAUAUACCUAUAUUAUUUUAGGCUAAUACGCAAUUAGGCUAAUAUUCUACUCACUCUCUAAUAUUUAAUUCUUUGUCUAGACUGAGAACUUUGUCCAAACUAAAUCUUUUAUCUCCGUCGCAGCUCUCGGCACGAUUUUUAAUGCCAAGCCUUGCAUGCACCAUUGUAUGCCUUGCAGUAUAAUAUAAGGCAUCCAUGCAUGGCUCAAUAUUUUAACUUGGAUGAAGGCCCUUGUCCUAAUUGAGGAGUUUAGCUUAACUCCUCUCCUUAACCUUUCCUGAUGCAGAUGAUGCUUGCUUCUUGCAGAAAUAUGCAUGAUGUAGUUUUUUUGUAUGGACCUACCACGACCAUAUUAUUGAUAAUAUACUUUAUCAAUAUUUGAGUAUAGGUCCUUCACGCCCAAAUAAUUGAUAGCAAUAUCAAUUCAGGUAUAUGGACUUCUAUUCAACGCGCUACCCAUGCCUAGCUAUGUACACUUGAUCGUCAUUAGACAGAUGGAAAUCGUAUUUGUUGUCACAUUCUUUCUUUAUUUCUUCACAUCUUCAUCUAUUUCUUGUCUUAAUUCUUUUAAGAUUUCCUCUUUCAAUUCUUUAUUUAUUAUUUUUUAUAAUUCUUCAAAUCUCUUGUACAAUUCGUGAUCUAUGUAUUCACUACCUAGAGGGUUAAUUCCCUUUAGAAGGCAUUCUUGAUAUGUAUGAUAUUUUGGGGAUUCUUCCUUCUUUCUAUUCUUCGAGCUUGAUGCUUUCUCCCUGUACGAGUUGCUAAAGUGGGUAUGUUUUUAUCUAUGCCUCUUUGCUUCUGGAUAUAUAUUCUUUAACCUUUGGGUCAAUAUAAUUAUCUUGUCCAAUAUAUUUUUAUCUAUGCCUCUUCUCUUCUGGAUAUAUUCUUUAUCCUUUGGGCCAAUGUAAUAAUCUUGUCCUAUAUGCCCCUUGCCCAUUUCAAGGCAUCAUUGAUAUUAUCACAUCUAUUGAAUGUUAGCUCUUUGUUUCUUCACUUUGUUGCAAACUUCUCUAUUUGAACUUCUUCCCAUGAUAUAUAUAUAUAUAUAUGUGUGUGUGUGUGUGUGUGUGUGUGUGUGUGUGUAUUCUUGGUUUACUUCCAUCAAACAUAAUAUAUAAAGGUUCUUCUCUUUGUACUUAAAUUUUGUUGAUCUUGGAAUAUUUUUUCAACACAUUAAAAUAUUCUGUGAGACUACUGAUAUUAGACAACAUGUAUCCUUUCUCUUCUCUAUUCAUUGUGUAUUGGUACCAAAGAUUAUCAUAUAAGCAUCCUUGGAUCUCAUCAAUACGGCUAUGACUCUUCGGUUUGAUAUUGAAUGUAUUUAGUGGAAAUAUUUUCAAUUUAUUAUCAUCUCCAAAUAUAAAGCAUUCACUUCCACCGCCGAGUGUUCCUUUCUUCAUUUCUGUAAAAUUUGUGAACGAGAAAAUAUGUCAGGUAAACUAUUAUCUUUUCCCUCAAUAUGGUCAAAUAUUAAUUUAUAUUCAUUCCCAACAAUAGUAUCUUCAAAUAAGACCCAUCUUCUUGUCGAGUUUUUCUUACUAUUAAUUUUAUUGUAAUAUCGACAUAUAGCUUCACAGUUUGUCCUUACUGUGAAUUCACUGAAUACUAGAUAUAGCCUGUCAUUUAUUGCAUUUACUACUGCGAGGAUCUCCCUAUCAAUAUUAUUUACUAUUUUUUAAUUUAUAACUUCCUCGAGCAUAUACGCGUCAUUUUCUUCUGCUUUUGGGGAAUAUUUAAUAGUUUGUUUUAGUAUAGGUCCCCAUCCCACCUUAUAUGCACCUAUUUCAAUUAUAAAGUAGUUGUUUUCUAAAGGAAGUUCUAGGGGUUUUAAAUUCCUGACUUUUUCCAUGAUGGCCUUUACUAGUUUUAUAUCUUUAGAACUGAAAUAUCUUUGAUCAUUUUUUCUUAAUUUAGGAUAUAAAGGUUCUGCUAUCUUUGCUAAGUUAUCUAUAAUUUUUCUUGCAUACUUUUUCCUAAGAAUUGUUGUAAAAUCUUCUUAUCACUCAUAUUUUCAGGAGACUCUAAUAUUUUCUUUGCAAUAUGUUCUUGUAAAUAUAUUUUUUCUUUUCCUAUUUCAUGACCAAGGAAAUUUAUUUAUUUUCCUUGCAAAUUUCCAUCUUCGUUUCGGAUAAUAUGAACCCAUUUUGUUCUAACUUCCGAAAGAAUAAUUCAAGAUGGGAUGUAUGCUCUUUGUAUGACUUUGAGAUACUAAUAAAUCAUCUACAUAUACCAAUAUAAAUGCUUGAUUCUCAUCAAAUAUAUUUUUCAUUUUCCUUUGUAGUAGUGAAGAAGUAUUCGUUAGGCCCAAUGGCAUCACUAGCCAUUGACAAUGGCCUUGUGGACAAGUAAAUGUUGUCCAUGAAGGAAAUAUGCCCUAGAGGAAAUAAUAAAGUCGUUAUUUAUAUUUCCUUAUAUCAGGAUAAAUGUUUAUUAUUCAUGCUAGAAUUGUAUUGUGACGCCCCCGAUUCAAUCGUACACUAAUCAUGCACGCAAACGUGUAUGAUCAAGAUCAGGGACUCAUGGGAAGAUAUCACAACACAACUCUAAAAUAAAAUAAGUCAUACAAGCAUCAUAAUACAAGCCAAGGGCCUCGAGGGCUCGAAUACAAGUGCUCGAUCAUAGACGAGUCAGCGGAAGCAACAAUAUCUGAGUACACAUAAGUUAAACAAGUUUGCCUUAAGAAGGCUAGCACAAACUGGGAUACAGAUCGAAAGAGGCGCAGGCCUCCUGCCUGGGAUCCUCCUAAACUACUCCUGGUCGUCGUCAGCGGGCUACACGUAGUAAUAGGCACCUCCGGUGUAGUAGGAGUCAUCGUUGAUGGUGGCGUCUGGCUCCAGGGCUCCAGAAUCUGGUUGCGACAACCAGAAAGAAAGGAAAGGGGAAAAAAAGGGGGGAGAAAGCAACCGUGAGUACUCAUCCAAAGUACUCGCAAGCAAGGAACUACACUACAUAUGCAUGGGUAUAUGUGUAAAGAGGCCAUAUCGGUGGACUGAACUGCAGAAUGCCAGAAUAAGAGGGGGAUAGCUAGUCCUAUCGAAGACUACGCUUCUGGCAGCCUCCGUCUCGCAGCACGUAGAAGAGAGUAGAUUGAAGUCCUCCAAGUAGCAUCUCCAAGUAGCAUCGCAUAGCAUAAUCCUACCCGGCGAUCCUCUCCUUGUCGCCCUAUAGAAAAGCGAUCACCGGGUUGUCUGUGGAACUUGGAAGGGUGUGUUUUAUUAAGUAUCCGAUUCUAGUUGUCAUAAGGUCAAGGUACAACUCCAAGUCGUCCUGUUACCGAAGAUCAUGGCUAUUCGAAUAGAUUAACUUCCCUACAGGGGUGCACCAACUUACACAACACGCUCGAUCCCAUUUGGUCGGACACACUUUCUUGGGUCAUGCCCGGCCUCGGAAGAUCAACACGUCGGAGCCCCACCUAGGCUCAACAGAGAGGCCAGCACGCCGGUCUAAACCUAAGCGUGCAGGGGUCUGGGCCCAUCGCCCUGAGCACACCUGCACGUUGCGUAUGCGGCCGGAAGCAGACCUAGCCUAGUGGCGUUCCAGUCCAAUCCGGCGCGCGCCGCUCAGUCGCUGGCAUCACGAAGUGCUUCGGCUGAUACCACGACGCCGAGUGCCCAUAUCUUUCCCACGUAGUUGGUUAGUGCGUAUAGGCUCGUAGCCAACUCAGAUCAAAUACCAAGAUCUCGUUAAGCGUGUUAAGUAUCCGCGAACGCCGAACAGGGCCAGGCCCACCUCUCUCCUAGGCGGUCUCAACCUGCCCUGUCGCUCCGCCACAAAGAUCCACUCGCGGGUGCUCCACCAGUCGACCCGACUUUAGUCUCCACAUGUAUCAUGUAUAAAGUAUAUAGUAUAUACCCGUGAUCACCUCCCGAGUGAUCACGUCCCGAUAGUAUAGCACGGCUGACGGACAAGAAUGUAGGGCCACAGAUGAAUAUACUAGCAUCCUAUACUAAGCAUAUAGGAUUGCAGGUAAAGGUAACAACAGUAGUAUCAAGGACAGGCUAUGCAUCAGGAUAGGUAUAACAGAAAGCAGUAACAUGCUACACUACUCUACUGCAAGCAGUAUAGAGUAGAAUAGGCGAUAUCUCGUGAUCAAGGGGGGGGGCUUGCCUGGUUGCUCUGGCAAGAGAGAGAGGUCGUCAACUCCGUAGUCGAACUGGGCAGCAGCAGUGUCGGUCUCGUAGUCUACCGGAGAGAAGAGGGGGAAGAAACAAUGAAUACCAUGUAAACAGAUGCAUAUCAAUGCAUGACAAGACAAGAAACAAUGUUUUCGGGCAGAGGAGCCGGAGGGGGAAAGUUGCGAGUUCGAUAGGUUAGGGGGGUGUGGCGGACGAACGGGUUGCGUAUCCGGAAUUGUCUCGUCGUUCUGAGCAACUUUCAUGUUGAAAAUAUUUUAAUCCGAGUUACGGACUAAAAGAUAUGAUUUUCUAAAGAUUUUAUUAAUUUCUAGAAUUUAGUUAAUUAUUUAAUUAAUUCGGAAAACAGAUUAAUGACAUCAGCAUGAUGUCAUGCUGACAUCAGCAGUCAACAGAGUUGACUUGGUCAACCUGACAUGUGGGUCCCAGCUAUUAUUGGGUGCUAAUUAACCUAACAGAUUAAUUAAAUAACCUAAGUGAUUAGGUUAAUCAAGUUUAAUUAGUUCAACUAAACAAGAUUAAUUAAGUUAAUUAUUUAAUUAAUUGAUUAAUUUUAAUAUUAAUUAUUUAUCUAUUAUAUAUUAUUACUAUUAUUAUUAUUAUUUAUUUAAUAUUUUUUUAUUUCUAUUAUUUUCUUUUUCUUUUUUAAAACGUUCCAGGGCGGGCCCCACGUGCCAUAGGCUCAGGGGCCUAUCGGGCGCCGCCUAGCGGGUCCGGGCGCAGGACGCGGCCCGAGCGGGCGCACGCCCAGGUGCGGGCGGACCCGGCAANNNNNNNNNNNNNNNNNNNNNNNNNNNNNNNNNNNNNNNNNNNNNNNNNNNNNNNNNNNNNNNNNNNNNNNNNNNNNNNNNNNNNNNNNNNNNNNNNNNNNNNNNNNNNNNNNNNNNNNNNNNNNNNNNNNNNNNNNNNNNNNNNNNNNNNNNNNNNNNNNNNNNNNNNNNNNNNNNNNNNNNNNNNNNNNNNNNNNNNNNNNNNNNNNNNNNNNNNNNNNNNNNNNNNNNNNNNNNNNNNNNNNNNNNNNNNNNNNNNNNNNNNNNNNNNNNNNNNNNNNNNNNNNNNNNNNNNNNNNNNNNNNNNNNNNNNNNNNNNNNNNNNNNNNNNNNNNNNNNNNNNNNNNNNNNNNNNNNNNNNNNNNNNNNNNNNNNNNNNNNNNNNNNNNNNNNNNNNNNNNNNNNNNNNNNNNNNNNNNNNNNNNNNNNNNNNNNNNNNNNNNNNNNNNNNNNNNNNNNNNNNNNNNNNNNNNNNNNNNNNNNNNNNNNNNNNNNNNNNNNNNNNNNNNNNNNNNNNNNNNNNNNNNNNNNNNNNNNNNNNNNNNNNNNNNNNNNNNNNNNNNNNNNNNNNNNNNNNNNNNNNNNNNNNNNNNNNNNNNNNNNNNNNNNNNNNNNNNNNNNNNNNNNNNNNNNNNNNNNNNNNNNNNNNNNNNNNNNNNNNNNNNNNNNNNNNNNNNNNNNNNNNNNNNNNNNNNNNNNNNNNNNNNNNNNNNNNNNNNNNNNNNNNNNNNNNNNNNNNNNNNNNNNNNNNNNNNNNNNNNNNNNNNNNNNNNNNNNNNNNNNNNNNNNNNNNNNNNNNNNNNNNNNNNNNNNNNNNNNNNNNNNNNNNNNNNNNNNNNNNNNNNNNNNNNNNNNNNNNNNNNNNNCUCGAUCCAGAUCGGGAGAGAGGAGGGGGCGAGUGGGUGGAGUGGGGGGUGUCGGUGGGACGAGUGGGGAGGAGGAGUGGAUAAGGGAGAGGAGUGGGGGGCCGACCUGGGCCGGCCUGGUUGGCCCGAUGGCCAGCUGGGCCGCGGUCCAGCAGGGGGGGGGGCUUCUCCUCCUUUUGUUUUUUUGUUUCUCUUUUGUAUUUUCUUUCUUUUAUUUAUUUUGUAGUUUCUUUUUAUUUUCAGUUUUAUAAGAUUACCACUAGUGCCUAAUUUGUAUUUACCAAUAAACUACUACGAGAUUAAUUCUUAACCAAUAAUAAAAUAGUGUUAGCAUUUUAUAAAUUCAAUAGGCAUUUGUUUAAUUGUGUUCACUAUUGUUUUAAUUGUCUUAGGGCCUUUAAACAUUUUAUCAAAGUUUGGUUUCUCCACCAUAAUUACCUAUGUAUUAUUUGGUUCACUCCGAACAUUUAAAUUUUAAUAUUUGAAAACUUUUAUUGUUUGCUCGAUUUUGAAUUUGAAAUUCGAACUAGGUUCCGAACUAACGCGAGUUUAUCCACAGUAACCGAGGUGACAUGGCAUCAUUAGCGGGGAUUACUGUAGCUUAAUUACCCGGGCGUCACAAUUCUCCUCCACUACAAGAAAUCUCGUCCCGAGAUUUAAGAGGGGAGUAAGGGGAAAGACUAGGUUACGAUAUUCUAACGGAUCUUCUCGAAGAAGUUAAUCCCUUUCGUUGAUGUCUUCAAUUCUUUAUUCUGAUGCAUCAUGAUAAACUUGUCAUCAUUUCUUCGGGAACUCCAUCGUACUUACGAAAGGAUAAGGGGCAGCUCACUACGACAUAAUGCUUUUGAAGGAAACAAUCUGGGGUUAACCCAUGAAUUAGUAUAAGAUUAUCUCAUGAGUUGAACAUAUGAAAUACCUCGAGAGUAAGGUACGAAGGUACCAUAAGAGGCUCCAAGCGGAUAGAUAGUUGCUCGAAGCCUGAACCAGAGUGAGAAAGGGGUUCAGAGUAGCGAGAGUAAGUAUUGCGUCUGAUACCAGAAUAGAUCACUAGGACUGUGGCCCGUGAAUUACAUACGAGUCCACGCGCGAGGAAUAACUUUGGGAAUAGGGGGUGUACAGGACAGUCAGGUUUCGAUCCUGUGGAACUGUGGGUUAUGGGCCCACCAUGUGGUUUUUUAUUAUUAUUAUUAUUAUUUAAUAGGAGCAGUGACAUCUUUCACGGUCAUGAUAGCAAGGCAUGUCAGAGAGUACCAUGUCCGUUAUGUCGGCAACAACGUUGGUACCAAGGGCGAGGGACAAAGAGAACCACCUUCCUGCUCGUUGAACGAGGCGGACCAAUAGGCAAAGUUCUCGUCCAUUGGCGGUUACCGGAAGUCAUCAACAGUAGAAACAGGGUUACACCAGACAGGAAGGUACACCGAGGUGUUUACCUAAGCAGGGGAUUACCACUGCUCGGUUAAGUAGUUUACAAGAAAGUUUGAACAAAACAACGGGAAGGAAAAUGUGCUUAAACAUGUAUAUCAGGGGUAUAUCCUUCCCAAGGACAAGCAGAGCAAGAUAUCCAUGACAGGAUAUUAUGUAGAAAACUACUUAGGUAGGGGAGAGAAAUUUCAUGACAUUACCCAUACAACGGUGUUUGGAUAAUUGAGCAAGAAACAUUUAGCAUUGGGCUUCAAAUGUUCUUGUUGAAAAUCAGAGUAUCACAGACAUGCUUCGAGAUAGCAUUGACAUGGUCUUCAAGCAAAGGCCGGUUUUUAGAUACUCAAUGGAUCCAUCAGGAACAGUUUAUAACACAGGUCUUACAAUUUCCUCCAAGAAGAAUGGUUAUCCUUGCAAAUAAACCAUAAUGAUAGGUCCUCCAGCCAGGGGGGUGCUAGGCAUGACAUCCUGUUACCAGGUCAUCAAAGGGCCAACAACAUAACUCUUGGAAAGUUGUCCCAACCAUCAUAUCUGACCGUGAUUCAGAUCCGAUUGGUGUAAUGAUACCUCAGACUCAGGAUGUCCGAGAAUAAAAGGUGCAACACAAAUAGACGAAAUGACAUUUCAGGAUUCUCAGGAAAUGAACUAUGGGAGUGGGUUCCUGAAACAAUAGUUCAUCAUUAAACCAAUGAGAGGAGGAGGUGGCUGAUGGGCUCGGCGAUAAUCCAUCGAGAUUUCCGACAAGAUGGAUUUCCACAAUUAUGUGAACAAGGAGAUAACAUUUGUCAGAUCAAAUGGUAUAAUGAUGUAUGCUCGAGGAAACAUACUCAAUUAAACAUUGGUUGAAAGGUGCACCCAAAUAUGGGUUGGGUUGCACGAUCAAUGUUAGAAUGGUGACUUGACGAACAAAAGAAUUAGAAUGAAACUCGACCAUUACUUCAAAGCAAUAGGGUUGCUAGAAGUUUUGAAUUCACACCUCAUAGUUAAAUUGUCGGUAUUCUGGUUAGAAACAACACGGGUACCAAGAAAGAAUGGUGAGGGUGAGAAGUAUCACCAUACCAAGAAGUCUUAAGAGGUGGAGUAAUCCUCACGACCUUCUUGACAUAAAAGAUGGUAAUACUCCAUGGUAAAGAAGAACAAAUGCUAGGUAGCAAGGAACUCGAGGUAUAACACAGAACACAAACAAGUUUUUGUUGGAGGGAACGCAAUAAAGAGGUCGAUGACAACACAAAUCAUCGAGGGCAAGGAUGGUAUUUCUCAUCACUAAUUCAAUUGAUAUCCUGGAAGAGCAUCAGAAUGUAGAUGGUGAUCAUGACACAUUUGUCGAGAGAUUCCACGAAGAUGUAAUCGAUCCGCGAUCACAUCAAGUCAAAAGAAUGAUGAAGCAAGAGGUUAUUGGAACCAUAGGUACGACACAAACUUGAAAUCAAGAUUGUUGUUCAAGGCGAACUGAUAUGACGAGGAAGAUCGACGUAAGCUUAGCUCAUUGUCAAAAGUUGUGCUCCGGGAUUAAGGACCAGGUAGCACAGUUAAAAUUUAGCAUGGUAAUGAUAUGGCCGAUCAGGCUAGGAAUGACAUGAUCGGGUACAAACUCGUAAGUAAAGAAUAUUAGUAAGAGUUGUUGAACCGUAAUGCGGACUCGGUUCAGUUAUCGGUGUCUUUGAGUGUUUAAUAACUCAGAGCCCAUGAAAAAUUGUAAUCAGUGAGUAUGUAGUACUUGAUGAAGAACUCAUAGGAAGUUAUGCAGUUCCAAGAUAAUCUCGAGAUACCAUGGGGUAAUACUCGACGACAGAUCAAAGUAGAGGUUGUACUGGGGUAUUGAUCCACAGAAGACAAGUGCUUAGACUUGCAUCGAAAAUGGUAUUUAAAGGAGAACAUGGUCGGAACCACGAUUGUAAAAGGCCAUACCCCAGAUAUAAGAUGAACUUAUAUCAAGGGAAUAAUUAAUUUUAAAAGAAGCUUCGAUGAGAAGAUGUACAUCGGGUCCAUGGGCAUGAACACAAAGUUCAAGGUCGACUCCCACUUCUCCCAUGCAUAACCUUUCAUCCACUUCUCACGUUCGAUUAAGUUGCAGUGUUGAAAUUUUAUCUGGCGAAGCACCAGAAGAGUAUGACUCGUGAAAACUUUCGGGUUCACACGGUCUAGAGAAAGCAUAUGUUCAACCCUUAGUGGCUUCUUAGAAACAUAUACCACAAGUUUCAAGAGUAAAUAACACAAGCCUGAAAGCAGAGUAUGGUUGGCCAAGCGGAGGAUACAACUUAACAAAGGCAUUAGGUAUCAGGGGAAGAACUCACAAAGUGAUCAAAUGUGAAGGACACUGUCGGAUAAUAAUCCAACAGUGGAUAUGGUGAUCCACAAUGGGGCUGAUAUGAGUAUCGACACCCAAUUAGAGGAAGAAAGAUUGCAAAUGCAUCGGUUCAUAGAACAGCUGAAUAGUUCAACGCUUAAUUAGCAAAGUAAUUAUGAUUUUCAAAUCAAGGGAUCAGGAGAAAAUGCUAUGAUCAAGAAUGGAUAAGCUGAAUAGAAUUAGGGAUACAAUCAACGACAAUUGGACUGGUCGAGAACCAAUUCCAGUUAAAAGAAUGGCAGCUCAGCCGGAAAGGUAAUUUAGAUCAGUGAUGAUUGCGCGUAUUCGCAAACAUAUUGAGUCAAUAGACCCAAAAUUAUAAUGACAAGGAAUGUCAAUAAGACUACGAGACUUAUGGGAUUAACCAUAAUGCGAGCAAGCAAGAAUUUCAAGAGCCAAAGGCUCCAGAGGAUUUUCGGAAGAUCGAAUAGUAUUUUGAAGACUUUUGUGAUACUCAUGAACAACUGGGGAUGAGCGGAUACUCGAUAAGUGCAAUAAUUAACCGUAGGGGUAUUCAGGUGACAAAGAACAGCAAGGCAGUAAGCUCAAAGGAUUAUCGAAACAACGACGGGUUUUUCAGGUUAUCUUGUAAUAACAAGACCAACUGGGGAUGAAUGUAAGAAUAACAACUACAAGUAGUUAUCCAUAAGGGUUUGCGGUGGAAGGGGAAUUGCAAACGCGAUGAACACAAGUUCUCGGGUUAACAGCGGAGAGUAUCUUUAGGGUCUUCUGGUGCAGCAGAUGAUCAUCAGUAACAAGGGGCUCUCCGGGUGAAAGUGAUAACGAGAUCCUAUUGUUAGAUUUAGUAAACUUCAUUUAACCCGAAUAGAGGAGAGAUCAGAGUCCCAGAGUAAAGGUCGAGGAGUAAAAGAUCCUACUACCACCCAAUGGCGACGUGUGCCCAUAAGACACACGGCCAUGUUAGUAAAAGUUUUGCAAUGUCUAGACUCGACUUCGUCCAAGGAGUUGGAAGGGGGAUUCCUACAGGCAGUCGGCUCUGAUACCAACUUGUGACGCCCCCGAUUCAAUCGUACACUAAUCAUGCAUGCAAACGUGUACGAUCAAGAUCAGGGACUCACGGGAAGAUAUCACAACACAACUCUAAAAUAAAAUAAGUCAUACAAGCAUCAUAAUACAAGCCAGGGGCCUCGAGGGCUCGAAUACAAGUGCUCGAUCAUAGACGAGUCAGCAGAAGCAACAAUAUCUGAGUAUAGACAUAAGUUAAACAAGUUUGCCUUAAGAAGGCUAGCACAAACUGGGAUACAGAUCGAAAGAGGCGCAGGCCUCCUGCCUGGGAUCCUCCUAAACUACUCCUGGUCGUCGUCAGCGGGCUGCACGUAGUAAUAGGCACCUCCGGUGUAGUAGGAGUCAUCGUCGACGGUGGCGUCUGGCUCCAGGGCUCCAGAAUCGGGUUGCGACAACCAGAAAGAAAGGAAAGGGGAAAAAAGGAGGGAGAAAGCAACUAUGAGUACUCAUCCAAAGUACUCGCAAGCAAGGAACUACACUACAUAUGCAUGGGUAUAUGUGUAAAGAGGCCAUAUCGGUGGACUGAACUGCAGAAUGCCAGAAUAAGAGGGGGAUAGCUAGUCCUAUCGAAGACUACGCUUCUGGCAGCCUCCGUCUCGCAGCACGUAGAAGAGAGUAGAUUGAAGUCCUCCAAGUAGCAUCUCCAAGUAGGAUCUCCAAGUAGCAUCGCAUAGCAUAAUCCUACCCGGCGAUCCUCUCCUCGUCGCCCUGUAGAAAAGCGAUCACCGGGUUGUCUGUGGAACUUGGAAGGGUGUGUUUUAUUAAGUAUCUGAUUCUAGUUGUCAUAAGGUCAAGGUACAACUCCAAGUCGUCCUGUUACUGAAGAUCACGGCUAUUCGAAUAGAUUAACUUCCCUACAGGGGUGCACCAACUUACCCAACAUGCUCGAUCCCAUUUGGUCGGACACACUUUCCUGGGUCAUGCCCGGCCUCGGAAGAUCAACACGUCGCAGCCCCACCUAGGCUCAACAGAGAGGCCAGCACGCCGGUCUAAACCUAAGCGCGCAGGGGUCUGGGCCCAUCGCCCUGAGCACACCUGCACGUUGUGUACGCGGCUGGAAGCAGACCUAGCCUAGUGGCGUUCCAGUCCAAUCCGGCGCGCGCCGCUCAGUCGCUGGCGUCACGAAGUGCUUCGGCUGAUACCACGACGCCGAGUGCCCAUAUCUUUCCCACGUAGUUGGUUAGUGUGUAUAGGCUCGUAGCCAACUCAGAUCAAAUACCAAGAUCUCGUUAAGCGUGUUAAGUAUCCGCGAACGUCGAACAGGGCCAGGCCCACCUCUCUCCUAGGCGGUCUCAACCUGCCCUGUCGCUCCGCCACAAAGAUCCACUCGCGGGUGCUCCACCAGCCGACCCGACUUUAGUCUCCACAUGUAUCAUGUAUAAAGUAUAUAGUAUAUACCCGUGAUCACCUCCCGAGUGAUCACGGCCCGAUAGUAUAGCACGGCUGACGGACAAGAAUGUAGGGCCACAGAUGAAUAUACUAGCAUCCUAUACUAAGCAUAUAGGAUUGCAGGUAAAGGUAACAACAGUAGUAUCAAGGACAGGCUAUGCAUCAGGAUAGGUAUAACAGAAAGCAGUAACAUGCUACACUACUCUAAUGCAAGCAGUAUAGAGUAGAAUAGGCGAUAUCUGGUGAUCAAGGGGAGGGGCUUUUCUGGUUGCUCUGGCAAGAGAGAGAGGUCGUCAACUCCGUAGUCGAACUGGGCAGCAGCAGUGUCGGUCUCGUAGUCUACCGGAGAGAAGAGGGGGAAGAAACAAUGAAUACCAUGUAAACAGAUGCAUAUCAAUGCAUGACAAGACAAGUAACGAUGCUAGGCGUGCCCUAACGUGGUAUGAGGUGAUACCGGUGAAGGGGGAAGCAUCCGGGAAGUAUUCCCGAGGUUCCGUGUUUUCGGGCAGAGGAGCCGAAGGGGGAAAGUUGCGAGUUCGAUAGGUUAGGGGGGUGUGGCGGACGAACGGGUUGCGCAUCCGGAAUCGUCUCGUCGUUCUGAGCAACUUUCAUGUUGAAAAUAUUUUAAUCCGAGUUACGGACUAAAAGAUAUGAUUUUCUAAAGAUUUUAUUAAUUUCUAGAAUUUAGUUAAUUAUUUAAUUAAUUCGGAAAACAGAUUAAUGACAUUAGCAUGAUGUCAUGCUGACAUCAGCAGUCAACAGAGUUGACUUGGUCAACCUGACAUGUGGGUCCCAGCUGUUAUUGGGUGCUAAUUAACCUAACAGAUUAAUUAAAUAACCUAAGUGAUUAGGUUAAUCAAGUUUAAUUAGUUCAACUAAACAAGAUUAAUUAAGUUAAUUAAUUAAUUAAUUAAUUAAUUUUAAUAUUAAUUAUUUAUCUAUUAUANNNNNNNNNNNNNNNNNNNNNNNNNNNNNNNNNNNNNNNNNNNNNNNNNNNNNNNNNNNNNNNNNNNNNNNNNNNNNNNNNNNNNNNNNNNNNNNNNNNNNNNNNNNNNNNNNNNNNNNNNNNNNNNNNNNNNNNNNNNNNNNNNNNNNNNNNNNNNNNNNNNNNNNNNNNNNNNNNNNNNNNNNNNNNNNNNNNNNNNNNNNNNNNNNNNNNNNNNNNNNNNNNNNNNNNNNNNNNNNNNNNNNNNNNNNNNNNNNNNNNNNNNNNNNNNNNNNNNNNNNNNNNNNNNNNNNNNNNNNNNNNNNNNNNNNNNNNNNNNNNNNNNNNNNNNNNNNNNNNNNNNNNNNNNNNNNNNNNNNNNNNNNNNNNNNNNNNNNNNNNNNNNNNNNNNNNNNNNNNNNNNNNNNNNNNNNNNNNNNNNNNNNNNNNNNNNNNNNNNNNNNNNNNNNNNNNNNNNNNNNNNNNNNNNNNNNNNNNNNNNNNNNNNNNNNNNNNNNNNNNNNNNNNNNNNNNNNNNNNNNNNNNNNNNNNNNNNNNNNNNNNNNNNNNNNNNNNNNNNNNNNNNNNNNNNNNNNNNNNNNNNNNNNNNNNNNNNNNNNNNNNNNNNNNNNNNNNNNNNNNNNNNNNNNNNNNNNNNNNNNNNNNNNNNNNNNNNNNNNNNNNNNNNNNNNNNNNNNNNNNNNNNNNNNNNNNNNNNNNNNNNNNNNNNNNNNNNNNNNNNNNNNNNNNNNNNNNNNNNNNNNNNNNNNNNNNNNNNNNNNNNNNNNNNNNNNNNNNNNNNNNNNNNNNNNNNNNNNNNNNNNNNNNNNNNNNNNNNNNNNNNNNNNNNNNNNNNNNNNNNNNNNNNNNNNNNNNNNNNNNNNNNNNNNNNNNNNNNNNNNNNNNNNNNNNNNNNNNNNNNNNNNNNNNNNNNNNNNNNNNNNNNNNNNNNNNNNNNNNNNNNNNNNNNNNNNNNNNNNNNNNNNNNNNNNNNNNNNNNNNNNNNNNNNNNNNNNNNNNNNNNNNNNNNNNNNNNNNNNNNNNNNNNNNNNNNNNNNNNNNNNNNNNNNNNNNNNNNNNNNNNNNNNNNNNNNNNNNNNNNNNNNNNNNNNNNNNNNNNNNNNNNNNNNNNNNNNNNNNNNNNNNNNNNNGGGGGGGCUUCUCCUCCUUUUGUUUUUUUGUUUCUCUUUUGUAUUUUCUUUCUUUUAUUUAUUUUGUAGUUUCUUUUAUUUUCAGUUUUAUAAAAUUACCACUAGUGCCUAAUUUGUAUUUACCAAUAAACUACUACGAGAUUAAUUCUUAACCCAUAAUAAAAUAGUGUUAGCAUUUUAUAAAUUCAAUAGGCAUUUGUUUAAUUGUUUUCACUAUUGUUUUAAUUGUCUUAGGGCCUUUAAACAUUUUAUCAAAGUUUGGUUUCUCCACCAUAAUUACCUAUGUAUUAUUUGGUUCACUCCGAACAUUUAAAUUUUAAUAUUUGAAAACUUUUAUUGUUUGCUCAAUUUUGAAUUUGAAAUUCGAACUAGGUUCCGAACUAAUGCGAGUUUAUCCACAGUAACCGAGGUGACGUGGCAUCAUUAGCGGGGAUUACUGUAGCUUAAUUACCCGGGCGUCACAUGUAUUAACCGGAAACUUACUACAUGUGUGAAUACAUAGACAAACAGAGUGUCACUAGUAUGCCUCUACUUGGCUAGCUCGUUAAUCAAAGAUGGUUAAGUUUCCUAACCAUAGACACGAGUUGUCAUUUGAUGAACAGAAUCACAUCAUUAGAGAAUGAUGUGAUUGACUUGACCCAUCCGUUAGCUUAGCACUAUGAUCGUUUAGUUUGUUGCUAUUGCUUUCUUCGUAACUUAUACAUGUUCCUAUGACUAUGAGAUUAUGCAACUCCCAAAUACCGGAGGAACACUUAGUGUGCUAUCAAACGUCACAAUGUAACUGGGUGACUAUAAAGAUGUUCUACAGGUGUCUCCGAUGGUGUUUGUUGAGUUGGCAUAGGUCGAGAUUAGGAUUUGUCACUCCGAUUGUCGAAGAGGUAUCUCUUGGCCCUCUCAGUAAUGCACAUCACUAUAAGCCUUGCAAGCAAUGUGACUAAUGAGUUAGUUGCGGGAUGUUGCAUUACAGAACGAGUAAAGAGACUCGCCGGUAACGAGAUUGAACUAGGUAUGAUGAUACCGACGAUUGAAUCUCGGGAAAGUAACAUACCGAUGACAAAGGAAAUAACGUAUGUUGUUAUGCGAUUUGACCGAUAAAGAUCUUCGUAGAAUAUGUUGGAACCAAUAUGAGCAUCCAGGUUCCGCUAUUGGUUAUUGACCGGAAGUGAGUCUCGGUCAUGUCUACAUAGUUCUCGAACACGUAGGGUCUGCACGCUUAACAUUCGAUGACGGUUGGUAUUAUAAGUUUAUGUGUUUUGAUGUACCGAAGGUUGUUUGGAGUCCCGGAUGUGAUCCCGGACAUGACGAGGAGUCUCGAAAUGGUCGAGACAUAAAUAUCGACAUAUUGGAAGGCUAUGUUUGGAACCAGAAUGGUUCCGGAUGUGUUCGGGCAUUUUCCGGAGUACCGGGAGGUUACCGAAACCCCCCGGGGAGUCAAUGGGCCUUAUUGGGCCUUAGUGGAAGCGAGGAGGAGGUGGCCAGGUGGAGGGCGCCCCCCCCCCCCCCAAGCCCAAUCCGAAUUGGGGUGGGGGCGGGCCCCCCUUUCCUUUCUCCUUCUCCCCCUUCUUCUCCUACUCCAACUAGGGAAGGGGGGAAACCUACUCCUACUGGGAGUAGGACUCCCCCCCCCCUUGGGUGCGCCCUAUGAGGGCCGGCCCUUCCCUCCUCCACUCCUUUAUAUACGGGGGGGCACCCCAUAGACACACAAGUUGACAGUUAUGUUAGUCGUGUUUGGUGCCCCCCUCCACAUAUUUCCACCUCGGACAUAUCGUUGUAGUGCUUAGGCGAAGCCCUGCGUCGGUAACUUCCAUCAUCACGCGGUCGUGUUGACGAAACUCUCCCUCUGCCUCAACUGGAUCAAGAGUACGAAGGACGUCACUGAGCUAAACGUGUGCAGAUCGCGGAGGUGCCGUGCGUUCGGUACUUGAUCGGUUGGAUCACGAAGACGUUCGACUACAUCAACCGCGUUACUUAACGCUUCCGCUUUGAGUCUACGAGGGUACAUGGAAACACUCUCCCCUCUCGUUGCUAUGCAUCUCCUAGAUAGAUCUUGCGUGAUCGUAGGAAUUUUUUUGAAAUACUGUGUUCCCCAAUAGUGGUAUCCGAGCCAGGUCUAUGCGUAGAUGUUAUAUGCAUGAGUAGAACACAAAGAAUUGUGGGCGAUUAUAGUCAUACUGCUUACCAGCAUGUCAUACUUUGAUUCGGUGGUAUUGUUGGAUGAAACGGCUCAGACCGACAUUACAUGUACGCUUACGCGAGACUGGUUCUACCGACGUGCUUCACACACAGGUUGCUAGUGGUUGUCUAUUUCUCCAACUUUAGUUGAAUCGAGUGUGACUACGCCCGGUCCUUGUUGAAGGUUAAAAUAGCAAACUUGACGAAGAAUCAUUGUGGUUUUUGAUGCGUAGGUAAGAACGGUUCUUGCUAAGCCUGUAGCAUCCACGUAAAACUUGCAACAACAAAGUAGAGGACGUCUAACUUGUUUUUGCAGGGCAUGUUGUGAUGUAAUAUGGUCAAGACGUGAUGAUAUAUAUAAAUUGUUGUAUGAGAUGAUCAUGUUUUGUAACACAGUUAUCGGCAACUAGCAGGAGCCAUAUGGUUGUCGCUUUAUUGUAUGAAAUGCAAUCGCCAUGUAAUUGCUUUACUUUAUGAUAAGCGGUAGCAAUAGUCAUAGUAGAAAUAGUUGGCGAGACGACAACGAUGCUUCGAUGGAGAUCAAGGUGUCAAGCCGGUGACGAUGGUGAUCAUGACGGUGCUUUGAAGAUGGAGAUCAAAGGCACAAGAUGAUGAUGACCAUAUCAUAUCACUUAUAUUGAUUGCAUGUGAUGUUUAUCCUUUAUGCAUCUUAUUUUGCUUAGUACGGUGGUAGCAUUAUAAGAUGAUCUCUCACUAAAUUUGAAGGUACAAGUGUUCUCCCUGGGUAUGCACCGUUGCUACAGUUCGUCGUGCCGAGACACCACGUGAUGAUCGGGUGUGAUAAGCUCUACGUUCACAUACAACGGGUGCAAGCCAGUUUUGCACACGCAGAAUACUCGGGUUAAACUUGACGAGCCUAGCAUAUGUAGAUAUGGCCUCGGAACACUGAGACCGAAAGGUCGAGCGUGAAUCAUAUAGUAUAUAUGAUCAACAUAGUGAUGUUCACCAUUGAAAACUACUCCAUCUCACGUGAUGAUCGGACAAUGGUUUAGUUGAUAUGGAUCACGUGAUCACUUAGAUGAUUAGAGGGAUGUCUAUCUAAGUGGGAGUUCUUAAGUAAUAUGAUUAAUUGAACUUUAAUUUAUCAUGAACUUAGUACCUGAUAGUAUUUUGCAUGUCUAUGUUGUUGUAGAUAAAUAGCUCGUGCUGUUGUUCCGUUGAAUUUUAAUGCGUUCCUAGAGAAAGCUAAGUUGAAAGAUGGUGGUAGCAACUACACGGACUGGGUCCGUAACUUGAGGAUUAUCCUCAUUGCUGCACAGAAGAAUUACGUCCUGGAAGCACUGCUAGGUGCCAAAACUGUUGUAGGAGCAACACCAGAUGUUAUGAACACCUGGCAAAGCAAAGUUGAUGACUACUCAAUAGUUCAGUGUGCCAUGGUUUACGGCUUAGAACCGGGACUUCAACGAUGUUUUGAACGUCAUGGAGCAUAUAUAUAUUAGAUGUUCCAAGAGUUGAAGUUAAUAUUUCAAGCAAAUGCCCGGAUUGAGAGAUAUGAAGUCUCCAAUAAGUUCCACAGCUGCAAGAUGGAGGAGAAUAGUUCUGUUAGUGAGCAUAUACUCAGAAUGUCUGGGUACCACAAUCACUUCACUCAGCUGAGAAUUAAUCUUCCAGUUGAUAGUGUCAUUGACAGAGUUCUUCAAUCACUGCCAUCAAGCUAGAAAAACUUCGUGAUGAACUAUAAUAUGCGAGGGAUGGAUAAGACAAUUCCCGAGCUCUUCGUAAUGCUAAAGGCUGCGGAGGUAGAAAUCAAGAAGGAGCAUCAAGUGUUGAUGGUCAACAAGACCACCAGUUUCAAGAAAAAGGGCAAAGGGAAGAAGGGGAACUUCAAGAAGAACGGCAAGCAAGUUCCAGCUCAAGUGAAGAAGCCCAAGUCUGGACCUAAGCCUAAGACUGAGUGCUUCUACUGCAAAGGGACUGGUCACUGGAAGCGGAACUGCCCCAAGUAUUUGCCGGAGAAGAAGGAUGGCAAAGUGAAAGGUAUAUUUGAUAUACAUGUUAUUGAUAUGUACCUUACUAAUGCUCGCAGUAGCGCCUGGGUAUUUGAUGCUGAUUCUGUUGCUAAUAUUUGCUACUCGAAACAAGGGCUACGGAUUAAGCAAAGAUUGGCUAAUGAUGAGGUGACGAUGUGUGUGCGAAAUGGUUUCAAAGUCAAUGUGAUCACCAUCGGAACGCUACCUCUACAUCUACCUUCAGGAUUAGUUUUAGACCUGAAUAAUUGUUAUUUGGUGCCAGCGUUAAGCAUGAACAUUAUAUCUGGAUAUUGUUUGAUGCAAGACGGUUAUUCAUUUAAAUAUGAGAAUAAUGGUUGUUCUAUUUAUAUGAGUAAUAUCUUUUAUGGUCAUGCACCAUUGAUGAGUGGUCUAUUUUUACUAAAUCUUGAUAGUAGUGAUACACAUAUUCAUAGUAUUGAUGCCAAAAGAUAUAAGUUUAAUAAUGAUAGUGCAACUUAUUUGUGGCACUGCCGUUUAGGUCAUAUUGGUGUAAAGCGCAUGAAGAAACUCCAUGUUGAUGGGCUUUUGGAAUCACUUGAUUGUGAAUCACUUGAUGCUUGCGUACCAUGUCUCAUGGGCAAGAUGACUAAGACUCCGUUCUCCGAAACAAUGGAGCGAGCAACAGACUUAUUGGAAAUAAUACAUACUGAUGUAUGUGGUCCGACGAGUGUUGAUGCUCGCGGCAGGUAUCGUUAUUUUCUGACCUUCACAGAUGAUUUGAGCAGAUAUGGGUAUAUCUACUUGAUGAAACAUAAGUCCGAAACAUUUGAAAAGUUCAAAUAAUUUUAGAGUGAAGUGGAAAAUCAUCGUAACAGGAAAAUAAAGUUUCUAUGAUCUGAUCGUGGAGGACAAUAUUUGAGUUACGAGUUUGGUCUUCAUUUGAAACAAUGCGGAAUAGUUUCGCAACUCACGCCACCCAGAACACCACAGCAUAAUGGUGUGUCCGAAUGUCGUAAUCGUACUUUAUUAGAUAUGGUACGAUCUAUGAUGUCUCUUACCGAUUUACCUAUAUCGUUUUGGGGUUAUGCUUUAGAGACGACUGCAUUCACGUUAAAUAGGGCACCAUCUAAAUCCGUUGGGAUGACACCAUAUGAACUGUGGUUUGGCAAGAAACCCAAGUUGUCGUUUCUUAAAGUUUGGGGCUGUGAUGCUUAUGUGAAAAAUCUUCAACCUGAUAAGCUCGAACCUAAAUCGGAGAAAUGUGUCUUCAUAGGAUACCCAAAGGAGACUGUUGGGUACACCUUCUAUCACAGAUCCAAAGGCAAGAUAUUCGUUGCUAAGAAUGGAUCCUUUCUAGAGAAGGGGUUUCUCUCAAAAGAAGUGAGUGGGAGGAAAGUAGAACUUGAUGAGGUAAUUGUACCUGCUCCCUUAUUGGAAAGUAGUUCAUCAUAGAAAUCAGUUCCAGUGAUUCCUAUAUCAGUAAGUGAGGAAGCUAAUGAUGAUGAUCAUGAAACUUCUAAUCAAGUUACUACCGAGCCUCGUAGGUCAACCAGAGUAAGAUCCACACUAGAGUGGUACGGUAAUCCUGUUCUGGAGGUCAUGUUACUUGACCAUGACAAACCUACGAACUAUGAGGAAGCGAUGAUGAUCCCAGAUUCCACGAAAUGGCUUGAGGCCAUGAAAUCUGAGAUCGGAUCCAUGUAUGAGAACAAAAUAUGGACUUUGGUUGACUUGCCCGAUGAUCGGCAAGCCAUAGAUAAUAAAUGGAUCUUCAAGAAGAAUACUGACGCUGACGGUAAUAUUACUGUCUACAAAGCUCGACUUGUUGCGAAAGGUUUUCAACAAGUUCAAGGAGUUGACUAUGAUGAGACCUUCUCACCCGUAGCGAUGCUUAAGUCUGUCUGAAUCAUGUUAGCAAUUGCCGCAUUUUAUGAUUGUGAAAUUUGGCAAAUGGAUGUCAAAACUGCAUUCCUUAAUGGAUAUCUUAAAGAAGAGUUGCAUAUGAUGCAACCAGAAAGUUUUGUCGGUCCAAAAGGUGCUAACAAAGUGUGCAAGCUCCAGCGAUCCAUUUAUGGAUUGGUGCAAGCCUCUCGGAGUUGGAAUAUACGCUUUGAUAAUGUGAUCAAAGCAUAUGGUUUUAUACAGACUUUUGGAGAAGCAUGUAUUUACAAGAAAGUGAGUGGGAGCUCUGUAGCAUUUCUGAUAUUAUAUGUAGAUGACAUAUUAUUGAUCGGAAAUGAUACAAAAUUUCUGAAUAGCAUAAAAGGAUGCUUGAAUAAGAAUUUUUCAAUGAAAGACCUUGGUGAAGCUGCUUAUAUAUUGGGCAUUAAGAUCUAUAGAGAUAGAUCAAGACGCUUAAUUGGACUUUCACAAAGCACAUACCUUGAUAAAGUUUUGAAGAAGUUCAAAAUGGAUCAAGCAAAGAAAGGGCUCUUGCCUGUGUUACAAGGUGUGAAGUUGAGUCAGACUCAAUGCCCGACCACUGCAGAAGAUAGAGGGAAAAUGAAAGUCAUUCCCUAUGCUUCAGCCAUAGGUUCUAUCAUGUAUGCAAUUAUGUGUACCAGGCCUGAUGUGUGCCUUGCUAUUAGUUUAGCGGGGAGGUACCAAAGUAAUCCAGGAGUGGAUCACUGGACAGCGGUCAAGAACAUCCUGAAAUACUUGAAAAGGACUAAGGAUAUGUUCCUCUUUUAUGGAGGUGACAAAGAGCUCGUCGUAAACGGUUACGUCGAUGCAAGCUUUGACACUGAUCCAGAUGACUCUAAGUCACAAACCGGAUACAUAUUUUUAUUGAAUGGCGGAGCUGUCAGUUGGUGCAAUUCCAAGCAGAGCGUGGUGGCGGGAUCUACGUGUGAAGCGGAAUACAUAGCUGCUUCAGAAGCAGCAAAUGAAGGAGUCUGGAUGAAGGAGUUCAUAUCAGAUCUAGGUGUCAUACCUAGUGCAUCGGGUCCAAUGAAAAUCUUUUGUGACAAUACCAGUGCAAUUGCCUUGGCAAAGGAAUCCAGAUUUCACAAAAGAACGAAGCACAUCAAGAGACGCUUCAAUUCCAUCCACGAUCAAGUGAAGGAGGGAGACAUGGAGAUUUGCAAGAUACAUACGGAUCUGAAUGUUGCAGACCCGUUGACUAAGCCUCUCUCACGAGCAAAACAUGAUUAGCACCAAGACUCCAUGGGUGUUAGAAUCAUUACAAUGUAAUCUAGAUUAUUGACUCUAGUGCAAGUGGGAGACUGAAGGAAAUAUGCCCUAGAGGCGAUAAUAAUGUUGUUAUUUAUAUUUCCUUACAUCAUGAUAAAUGUUUAUUAUUCAUGUUAGAAUUGUAUUAACUGAAACUUACUACAUGUGUGAAUACAUAGACAAACAGAGUGUCACUAGUAUGCCUCUACUUGACUAGCUCGUUAAUCAAAGAUGGUUAAGUUUCCUAACCAUAGACAUGAGUUGCCAUUUGAUGAAUGGGAUAACAUCAUUAGAGAAUGAUGUGAUUGACUUGACCCAUCCGUUAGCUUAGCACUAUGAUUGUUUAGUUUGUUGUUAUUGCUUUCUUCAUAACUUAUACAUGUUCCCAUGACUAUGAGAUUAUGCAACUCCUGAAUACCGGAGGAACACUUAGUGUGCUAUCAAACGUCACAACGUAACUGGGUGACUAUAAAUAUGCUCUACGGGUGUCUCCAAUAGUGUUUGGUGAGUUGGCAUAGAUCGAGAUUAGGAUUUGUCACUCCGAUUGUCGGAGAGGUAUCUCUGGGCCCUCUUGGUAAUGCACAUGAUUAUAAGCGUUGCAAGCACUGUGACUACUGAGUUAGUUGCGGGAUGUUGCAUUACGGAACGAGUAAAGAGACUUGCUGGUAACGAGAUUGAACUAGGUAUGAUGAUACCGACGAUCGAAUCUCGGGCAAGUAACAUACCGAUGACAAAGGGAACAACGUAUGUUGUUAUGCGGUUUGACCGAUAAAGAUCUUCGUAGAAUAUGUAGGAACCAAUAUGAGCAUCCAGGUUCCGCUAUUGGUUACUGAUCGGAAGUGAGUCUCGGUCAUGUCUACAUAGUUCUCUAACCCGUAGGGUCCGCACGCUUAGCGUUCGAUGACGAUCUGUAUUAUGAGUGAGGGAGUCCUGGAUUAGGGGGUCUCCGGACAGCCGGACUAUAACCUUUGGCCGGACUGUUGGGUUAUGAAGAUACUAAAUUGAAAACUUCGUCUCGUGUCCGGAUGGGACUCUACUUGGCGUGGAAGGCAAGCUAGGCAAUGCGGAUAUGCAUAUCUCCUCCUUUGUAACCGACCUUGUGUAACCCUAGCCCCCUUCGGUGUCUAUAUUAAGCGGAGGGUUUUAGUCCAUAGGACACAACAAUAACAUACAAUCAUACCAUAGGCUAGCUUCUAGGGUUUAGCCUCUCUAAUCUCGUGGUAGAUCUACUCUUGUACUACCCAUAUCAUCAAUAUUAAUCAAGCAGGACGUAGGGUUUUACCUCCAUCAAGAGGGCCCGAACCUGGGUAAAACUUCGUGUCCCCUGCCUCCUAUUACCAUCCGCCUAAACGCACAGUUCGGGACCCCCUCCCCGAGAUCCGCCGGUUUUGACACCGACAUUGGUGCUUUCAUUGAGAGUUCCUCUGUGUCGUCGCCGUUAUGCUUGAUGGCUGCUUCUAUCAUCGAUAGCCAUGCCAAACAGGGUGAGACUUUUCUCCCCAGACAGAUUUUUGUAUUCGACGGCUUUGCACUGCGGGCCAAUCCGCUUGGCCAUCUGGAGCAGAUUGAAAGCUACGCCCCUGGCCAUCAGGUCAGAUUUGGAAGCUUAAGCUACACGGCCGAUAUCCGCGGAGACUUGAUCUUCGACGGAUUCGAGCCUCUGCCUUGUGUGUCAUGCGGUCAUGAUGAUUAUGAUUUAGCUCUACCAUCCGACAGUGUUCAGGAGAUCGCACCGGCAGCCGCUCCGACCCUCAAUUUGGAGCCAGUUGCGCCAUCCAUGGACGGGUGGAUGGACCCCGCCACGGAGGCCUUACCCCCAUCGGCGAUCGAGCCGAACAUCGACCUUACUCUGCACGAGAGCCAUGUUGACAAACUGCCGGAUCUCUCUCCGGCCACGGACUCCGAACCGCUUGCGCCCGUUCCUAGCGAAUCCAAUUGGGUGCCGAUCAUGGAGUUUACCUCCGCGGAUAUUUUUCAGCACUCGCCCCUUGGCGACAUACUGAACUCAUUAAGGUCUCUCUCCUUGUCAGGAGAAUCCUGGCCGAACUAUGUCCGGCAGGAUUGGGAUGCGGAUGGCGUCAAAAUUCACCGCCCACCCACCACCCACUUAGUAGCCAUUGUCUAUGACCUAACCGACAUGCUCGACUUCAACUCCGAAGACAUCGAUGGUAUGGACAAUGAUGCAGGAGACGAACAGGAACCACUGCCCACAGGGCACUGGACGCCCACUUCAUCACAUGACAUAUACAUGGUGGACAAACCAAAAGAAAACGACCACGAGGAACAGAAGGACGCAAUGAAGUGUUUUCCCCUCAAGAAGCAGUCAAAGCGGCGGCGUAAGCACCACUCCAAAUCCUGCCUCGGCAGAAACAACGAUCAUACAGACCCAGCGUUAGAGCAGGGUGAACCAUCGCCGGACCACGGCAACACGGAGAAUCAAACUGAACAACACGAUUCUGUCAAAGAUAACAGUCCGGAUGACAUCACACCGGACAGACACCCGGAGAAACAGAAUGCCCGUCAAAGGCUCGUUGCCACCGCAAGGAGUCUAAAAAAGCAGAAGCAAAGGCUCAAGGCUGCGCAAGACACACUUAAAAUCAGAUGGAGUAAUGUACUCAAUACGGCAGCGAAGUACGGUGGUAAUUGCCCCACCAAGAGCUACCCGAAGCGGAAGUUGCUACCUGAAUUCGAUGAGGAGGCCUUAGAUCCCCCGCAACCAAAAAUUAAAACGGCCACCUGGCCGGAUAGACGACCUCACGGCCAACAUAGAGCGGCAAACAACGCCGCACAUAAGCCAAUACGCGAUCCACACGAGGGCUCGCAUCAAAAGGGCGGCGCAACCAGAUCCAUCUAUGGACCACGCAAGCACGCUCCAGCAUACGAUGCAACACAACAAACAUCUAAACAACACGGUAAACCCAGAUACAGGGGUGCUAGACGCCCCCUAUGUUUCACCGAUGAGGUGCUGGACCAUGAAUUUCCAGAGGGAUUCAAACCCGUAAACAUAGAGGCAUACGACGGAACAACAGACCGAGGACUACAUCCUCCAUAUCCAUAUGGCUCGAGGAGAUGAUCUCCACGCCAUCAAGUACUUACCCCUCAAGCUCAAAGGGCCAGCUCGGCACUGGCUUAAAAGCCUCCCCGAAAACUCCAUUGGAAGCUGGGAAGAGCUCGAAGAUGCUUUUCGGGCAAAUUUUCAAGGGACUUAUGUCCGACCUCCGGAUGCAGAUGAUUUGAGUCAUAUAACUCAACAGCCCGGAGAGUCAGCCCGAAAGCUUUGGAAUAGGUUUCUUACUAAAAAGAACCAAGUAGUCGACUGUCCGGACGCCGAAGCCUUGGCAGCUUUUAAGCAUAGUGUCCGCGGCGAAUGGCUUGCCAGACACCUCGGCCAAGAAAAGCUGAGAACAAUGGCAGCAUUAACAAGCCUCAUGACCCGCUUUUGCGCGGGUGAGGACAGCUGGCUAGCCAGAUGCAGCACCAGCGACCCAAGUACAUCCGAAGUUAGAGAUGAAAACGGGAAAUCACGACGCAGCAAAAAUAAUAAGCGCCGAAAUAAAGAAGACAGCCCGAAGAGCACGGCAGUAAAUGCUAGAUUCAGAAGCUCUCGGCCAGGUCAGCCAAAGCCCUCCCCCUAAAGGCGCCAGAGAUGAACUGUACAGCCUGAACAAAACUCUGGACCAAAUAUGUCAGAUCCAUAGCACCCGUGGUAAACCCGCUAAUCAUACCCACAGAGAAUGUUGGGUCUUCAAGUAGUCCGGCAAGCUGAACGCCGUACACAAGGGGGAGGAUACACCAAGCGAAGACGAGGAUGAGCCUCUCAAGCAAGACACUGGGGAACAAAAGAAAUUUCCACCAGAAGUCAAAAUAGUAAACGUGUUACACGUGAUCAAGGGGAGAAAUAAAGCGGCACUCUCAGAGAAAUAUGCCCAAGGGCCUAUCACCGCGGAGUCCUGCCACUGGUCGGCUCAACCGAUCACUUUCUACCAUCGAGAUUACUUAGCAAAUAUCCGGCAUGCAGGAUGGGUUGCCUUGGUAUUAGACCCAAUAAUUGACGGAUACCAUUUCACAUGAGUCCUGAUGGACGGUGGCAACAGUCUAAACCUGAUAUAUCAGGACACAAUCCGCAAAAUGGGGAUAGACCCAACGAAAAUUUGCCACAACAAUACUACCUUUAAAGGAGUAAUGCCAGGCCCAAGGGCUCACUGCACGGGCUCCCUACUACUAGAAGUUAUAUUCGGCUUCCCCGAUAACUUCCGUAGCGAAAAUUUAACCCUCCACAUUGCUCCGUUCCAAAGUGGCUAUCAAGCACUACUUGGACGCGAAGCUUUCGCUCGCUUUAACGCAAUACCGCACUACGCUUCCCUCACGCUUAAGAUGCCCGGUCCACGUGGCAUCAUUACAGUAAAUGGAAAUAUGGAGCGAUCCCUGCGCGCUGAAGAGAAUGCGGCUGCCUGGGCAGCCGCACACUAAAACGGCCUCACCAACCAAAGCAUUUGAUAGGUCGUCAAGACCACGGACAUGGUUAGACAAGUCUAGCGCAGCUGUAUGUAAUUCAUACAGGUUUGAUGGCCACACCCCUAUCACAAAUACAAGGGGCUCAACGCGCGCAGACAAGUGGCAAUUUUUACUCAUCUUGAAUUGUACAUGGUUUUUUCAAAAAACCUACCUUUUUGCACGACAAAUUUUCACUUAAGUUCCUCUCUUUUACAGAUGACCACCGUGCUACACCUGUCCAGGAUACGGCACAACAGAGACACAGGCGCAGACGUGCAGUAGGGACCCUUUCCAAGGAUUCUUUUUAGAUUAAGACCAUGCGUCAACCUUUUUUACUGUCUCUUGUUGAUACACAUCCCUCGGAUUCUCAGUACAAUUGAGAAGGAUGCUGGCGUCUUGGCAUGUGGCCACGUCAGAAUAAUGCACGUACCUGAACACCAUGGGCUUCUUACAAAGGGCACUGAUUAGGCCCGGUUCAUACCAUAAAGACCAAAUACCUUAGGGAGUGUUCGGCGUCGCGAGUUUGGCCCUAUAUGCAUCAGCUCCGAAUCAUGUCUUUGGUCAAAUGUUGGGUUUGCCCGGCUCCUAUGUUUUGGUACCUUAAAUUCCGCUCUAUCGGCUAAGGUAGCACUAGGAGAACUACUGCGAUUGUGCCCUGGGUCAUCUGGACGAGCACCUCAGUAGAGAAAGCCGAAAACUGACUGUCAUGGUAUAUCGUGAGACUGGUCAACCACUCGAUGACCUAUCGGAAUGUUAGAAUUCCUCCGCCUUAACGAAGGGCCGUUUCCCGGCCAGGCAUGUACGCACCCCGAAUUCGGGAGAGUGCAGAGCCACCAGGGGCUAUAUAGUAGCCCCACCGUCAAACUCCUAUGGCUAAGUGAAAGUGUUAAAGCAUUAUAGUCCAGUUGCCUUGUUCGCUGUGCUAUCACCUCCUUAAUAGGACCAAGACGUUGGGUUAAGUGUGAACACGCGUCUUCUGCGAACACCUCGGCAUUAUAUGCGUGGGGGCUGAAGUCGACGACUGCAAUCUUUCCGGUUAUACACAUGUAUACAUAAACGGCCGCACAGGAGGCAUCAUAUUACUUUCAGGCAAAAGUAUAAACACAGCCUUAAUAAAUUUCAUAAAAACAUUGUGUUUACAAUGGGAAUACAUGUCACUCAAACAUAAUAUUCUUCGAGCACUAGGCCUCUAUCAAACGAGCACCCUCGAGAACCUCUUCGAAAUAGUGCUUGGCAGCCACUCGGCCUAUGGCCGAACCCUGGGCCGCAACAGUGGUAGCAUCCAUCUCUGCCCAGUAUGCUUUAACACGGGCAAGGGCCAUCCGCGAGCCCUCUAUGCACGUCGACCUCUUCAUCGCAUUGAUGCGCGGCACCGCACCAAGGAACUGCUGCACUAAGCUGAAAUAGAUGUUCGGCUUCAGCUUUUCCGGCCACAGCUGAUCCACGACAGACCUCAUGGCGAGUCCGGACAACCUAUUGAGUUCAGCCCAUUCGGCUAGCUGAUCAGUCAACGGAAGCGGAUGCUCUGGAACAUUAAAUUGCGACCAGAACAGCUUGUCCACUUCACGAUCUGUUUGAUCGCGGAAGUAUUUGGCCGGAUCGACAGCGCUCGCCGCCAAGUCCAUAUAUGCGUCUGCCGAACUCCACAGCCGAUCCAGAGGGGCAUACCGCGGAUCUCCGAACUUCCUCCGCAGCAUAAAGGGCUUCCCAGCCGCAAUAUCCCCGGCUUCACGCAGCUCCUUCUUCUUCGCUCUCAUAGCAGAGCGGGUGUCUUUGUUCGCCAUUGUGGCCUUUUCAAGGUCCGUAGCCUUCGCUCGGUUUUCUUUUUCAAGGAACUGGCAACGGUCGGUAGUGUCUUUUAACUUUACGGCCAUCUUGGCCGUCUUCUCUUUGCUCUCGCAAUGCGCGGCCUUCUCGGCUUUCAACUCUUCGGCCGCCUUCAAAGCGGCCGCAUUACUAAUCCUUGCUUGUUCUUUGGCUCGGGCAAGUUCCGCCUGUAGGCUUUCCACGGUGGCAGCUCCAUCUCCAGUCACAACAUAUUAAAGAUACUGGCAUCAUGCUACUCUUACUAUGUGGCAUUCACCAGAAAAUACCGUUUACCCUGUGCCUCGUCAAGCCUCUUGUUAACAAGCUCGAUGUCGGCAUCCGCCGCAUCCAGUUGCCGCUUCAGUUCGGCAAACUCAUGAGUCCGGCUAGCCACCAGAGCUCCCACUACCUGCACAUUAAAGCGGUAUGGUUAUUGCCUGGGACUACGAUCCUCUGUUUGCCGCCAUUCUCGGCGACAACCAGAGUCUCAGGGGCUACUAUCUACACAGGGCACACCUAAAAAUGUGCGGUACCAUCACAAAUGUACAUCAUUUUACGUACCUCAAAGCCCGUCAGUAGACUCAUAAAGGCAUCAUGCAACCCGCUUUCGGCGGAUGAAAUCCUUUCCGUCACCGUACCCAUCAAUGGACGGUGUUCUUCUGAGAUGGCCGCCCGUUCCAAUAGCUCUCUCAGUACGUCCGACCGCAAACCAGACGGUGCCGGACUCUUCUGUUUGCUCUCUUCAAGAGUCGGACACUCGGGACUUCGGGUGACUAUAGGAUUAUCUUCUGGCCUCACCGGAUCCGGAGAGGCCCUCCGUGACGACACUUCAAGGUCGCCCGCUUCUUGAGCGGAGGAGUCCGGGGGAGGCAUUUCGCUCUCUAUCAUCUUCGGAAGAAGAUCCCCCGAAGACGAGCUCUGCUGAGAAGGGCUAAGAUCCGAACUGUAAGAUAAAUACUUCGGUUAUUUUCCUCAGAGGUAAGGUAAUAUAUCUUCACUAUUAAAGUACUUUUUAAUUACUUACAGCUCGUUAGAGGGCUGAUCCCCACGCGGACUUUGUGCAGCAAGAGCACCCUCCAAGGCAGGACCCUCUGGUGGAGAUUUCUUCUCCCGCUUGUAAACCUUGGUUUUUGGAUCUUUAGAGGUAGUCCUCUUCCUUCCCCGGGGUGAGAGAAUGUCAGAUUCCUCCCCUCGGUUAUCCUCCCUCAUGGAGGCGCUCGUUCCCUCGGUCGGAAUAGGUAGCGGUGGAGGCCCGCUUUCGCCCUCAUUAUUCCCCCCUUUGUCUUCCUUUGAGGGCUCCGGGCAAGGUGCUAGCUCGAGCAUCUUUUCCAGUACCGGAUUUUCCAAACCCUCAGGAAGGGGGGCCGAACACCGAAUCAUCUUCGCCUUUGUUAUCCAGUCCUGGUCAAAGAGCGAUCUCUCAUAAUAACGUCAUGAUAAAUGAAAUACGGUGUGUUCGGCUAGAGGAUAACUUACUUGGUCGGCGAUGCGGUUGCUGCUCAGGCCCACGUCCUCGGUAGUAUCCGGACACUCUAUCUGGGGUACGAAGAAUGAUCUAUACAUCUCCUCGUGCGUCAGGCCAAGGAAAUUUUGAAUAGCGCGCGGUCCUUCUGGGUUGAACUCCCACAUGCGAAGAGGCCGGCGUUUGCAUGGCUGGAUUUGUUGAACCAGCAUGACUUGCAUUACCAUAAUCAAACUGAAAUCUCCUUCGAAGAGAUUUCGAAUGCGGCUUUGCAGUACAGGCACGUCCUUGGCGGGACCCCAGCUCAGCCCUCUGCUAAUCCAUGACAUCAGUUGUGGCGGAGGGCCUGAGCGGAUAGCAGGGGCAGCCGCCCACUUGGCACUUCUGGGAGCUGUGAUGCAAAAUCACUCCCGUUGCCAUAAUCUGGACACCUCUGGAAUAGAACCCUUUGGCCAUGGAGCUUCGGCGAUCCUGCUUAUUAAUGCGCCUCCGCACGCUACAUGCUGCCCCUCGACCAUCUUCGGCUUCACGUCAAAGGUCUUGAGCCAUAGGCCGAAGUGGGGGGUAAUGCGGAGGAAAGCCUCACAUACAACAAUAAAUUAUGAGAUGUGGAGAAAGGAGUCCGGGGCUAGAUUGUGGAAAUCUAGCCCGUAAUAAAAUAGCAGCCCCCUAACGAAGGGAUCCAGAGUGAGGCCUAGACCUCGGAGGAAGUGGGAGAUGAACACGACGUCUUCGUUGGGUUCAGGAGUAGGGACGACCUGCCCUCGGGUAGGCAGCCGAUGCGAAACCUCGACGGUCCGGUAUCUGGCCUCCCUCAACUUCUUGAUGUCUUCUUCCGUAAUGGAGGAGGGCAUCCAUCGGCCUUGAAGGCUAGAUCCGGACAUGAUUGACGGCCCGGAGCACCUAACCUGGGCUUUGGGUGUUAGAACUCGAGGCGGGGGAAGGAUUCGAUUGAGCACGGGAGGGAAAAAAGUAAAAGCCUUGUCCCUUUAUAAAGAGAGUGAAUAUCAAGCGUCCUCUCCGUAGCCGUUUGGGACUUGCCUAUAAUCUAGGAGUCCUAGACACGGUUGGGUUACCCACGCCCGUAUUGAUGAGAAUCCCGUGAUAAGGGGACACGAUCUGUGCUUUGACAAGACGUGUCAAAAAACUGCCUCGUGUUAUGUGCGGGACUAGUUAACGGAAACGGUUCGAAUAAUCACCGGGCCAUGACAUAAUGUCGUGUUGCCGAAACAAGUCAGCAAAUUAGAUUUGCGAAAAUAUUAUUCUCUCUACAGUGGUAUGUGGAACUUAUUUUGCAGGGUCGGACACUAUUCUUGUAUUCAAAUUCUUCCGUGGUGUAUUCGGAGGAGGAACCCACCUUGCAAUGCCGAAGACAAUACUGCGCAACGGACUCAUCGCCAUUGAAGCCUGGUUCAGGGGCUACUGAGGGAGUCCUGGAUUAGGGGGUCUCCGGACAGCCGAACUAUAAUAUUUGGCCGGACUGCUGGACUAUGAAGAUACUAAAUUGAAGACUUCGUCUCGUGUCCGGAUGGGACUCUACUUGGUGUGGAAGGCAAGCUAGGCAAUACGGAUAUGCAUAUCUCCUCCUUUGUAACCAACCUUGUGUAACCCUAGCCCCCUUCGGUGUCUAUAUAAACCGGAGGGUUUUAGUCCGUAGGACACAACAAUAACAUACAAUCAUACCAUAGGCUAGCUUCUACGGUUUAGCCUCUCUGAUCUCGUGGUAGAUCUACUCUGAUCUCGUGGUAGAUCUACUCUUGUACUACCCAUAUCAUCAAUAUUAAUCAAGCAGUACAUAGGGUUUUACCUCCAUCAAGAGGGCCCGAACCUGGGUAAAACUUCGUGUCCCCUGCCUCCUGUUACCAUCCGCCUAGAUGCACAGUUCGGGACCCCCUACCCGAGAUCCGCCGGUUUUGACACCGACAAUGAGUUUAUGUGUUUUGAUGUACCUAAGGUUUUUUGGAGUCCUGGAUGUGAUCACGGACAUGACGAGGAAUCUCGAAAUGGUCAAGACAUAAAGAUCGAUAUAUUGGAAGGCUAUGUUUGGACACCGGAAUGGUUCCGGAAGAGUUCGGGCAUUUUCCGGAGUACCGGGAGGUUACUGGAACCCUCCGGGGAGUCAAUGGGCCUUAUUGGGCCUUAGUGGAAGAGAGGAGGAGGAGGCCAGGUGGAGGGCGCUCCCCCCCCCCCAAGCCCAAUCCGAAUUGGGGUGGGGGCUGCCCCCCUUCCUUCUCCCUCUUCCUUCUUCUCCUACUCCAACUAGGGAAGGGGGGAAACCUACUCCUACUGGGAGUAGGACCCCCCCCCCUUGGGCGCGCCCUAUGAGGGUCGGCCCUCCCCUCCUCCACUCCUUUAUAUACGAGGGAGAGGGGCACCCCAUAGACACACAAGUUGACAGUUGUCUUAGCUGUGUGUGUGUGCCCCCUCCACAGAUUUCCACUUCGGUCAUAUCGAUGUAGUGCUUAGGCGAAGCCCUGCGUCGGUAACUUCAUCAACACCGUCAUCACGCCGUCGUGCUGAAGAAACUCUCCCUCGUCCUUAACUAGAUCAAGAGUAGGAGGGACGUCACCGAGCUGAACGUGUGCAGAUCGCGGAGGUGCCAUGCGUUCGGUACUUGAUCGGUUGGAUCGCGAAGAUGUUCGACUACAUCAACCGUGUUACUUAACGCUUCCGCUUUCGGUCUACGAGGGUACGUGGACACACUCUCCCCUCUCGUUGCUAUGCAUCUCCUACAUAGAUCUUGCAUGAUCGUAGGAAAUUUUUUGAAAUACUACGUUCCCCAACAGUCCAAGGGAUAAAUUCUUUAGCCAUUUUACUUGCCAAAAUCCCGCUUUUAAAUAAAAUUUAGAGAAAUAUUUGCUUCCUUGUAUUUUGUUAAUCUAGUCCCUCUUAUUAGGUAUAUUGAAUGUGUCUUCUAUCGUACUAUCAUUAAGCCUUUUCAAAUUAAUUACCAUUAUCGAUUUACCUCUUACAACUUUAGCAUGAUUACUAACUGUAAAAGCAGUAGACCGAUGAGUGCUUCUGCUUUCUCUAAUCGCUUUUAAUUUUAGUAAAUCAUCAAUAUGCAGUUUGAACUCUUCAAAAUCUUUAGGAGUGGAUUCUAUUGGUCCUAACUUAAUUAUAUAAUCCGGGUUUAUGAUAUUAAUAUUGCAAACUAUAGAGUUCUUAUCACAAUGUUACAUUGGUAUUUUCUCAAUAAUUUGUAUAUUUUCCAGUCUUCGCACAAUCUUGUCUAUAUCUUUUUUGGAUUUUAUAUCUCUAUACCAACUUGAAGAGAAUGAUUGUAACCCUAUACAUUUUGUAUAUGUAUUUUCUAUAUGAUAUUCUUCUAUGGUCUCACUAAGUUCUUCUUCUUUACAGAAAUCAAGGGGAUCUGAACUUGUGUUAUAUUCAUCAUCUAAAUUAGAUAUUUCUACAUUUUGUAAAUCCUUUUUUGUUUCUAUACUUCGGAUAUUUAUGGAACAUUAUCUUGAUAUGGAAUAAAUGUAACCCCUUCUUCAUGUAAAAUCAUGGUUUAUAAAGAUUGUUGUAAAAAUCUUAACCCUAUUAUCAUAUCAUCAUUUAUUACUAACAAAUCUAUUAUUAUAACUUCAUCUAUUGUAUAUUUCAUGCCAUUUCUGUAAGCUUCAAUAUCAUAUGCCAAUUGGUUAUGGAUUUUCUUUAUUCCAGACAUAUCAGUAGAUACUUUGGCUUUAUUAUCAUCUAUGGUUUCGACUAGUUUGGGACAUCUCACAAAAUAUUUAUCAUGGAUUAUGUUCUUUGUGUAACCCGUAUCUAAUAAUGCCAAUAUUUUAUAGGAAAUAUUUUGCCUUAGAACUAUUCUAACUGGGAUCCUUAUCCCUAGCACUUCAUUGAAUGGUAAUCGAACGAUAUAUUUGUUUCCAAAACUAGUUAUUGCAUCUUUUAAUUGUAUUAAUCUGUCCCCAUUUUUACCUCUUACCGUUACCAUUUGUUCUUUCAUCUACAUGCUUUUAGCAACAUUAUCUUCUCGCUCUUUACUAUUCUCUAACUCAUCUUUUAGUUUUUCUCGCUCUUGCUUCUAGUUUAUUUAUUCUAUUUUAUGAGUUUCUAACCCUGCUAGAUAGUAUUCUUUCUCUCGUUCAAACUCUAGGCGAUUAGACUAAUAUUCUACUCACUCUCCAAUAUUUAAUUCUUUAUUACUGUUUGCACAGUCUAUUCUUUAUUAAGCUAGUUAUAUCUAUUAUACGAUCUAUUAGGGGCUGGUGAGGCCAACAGAAUAAUCGAUGGUGUGCACACAGUGGUAUGAUAUCCUACUCAGUACUUAUUAUAUUUUUUAUUAUUAUGUUGUAUCAGAUGUAGCUAGGGUUCAUUCACUUGAUGUUUUUAAAUACAAACUUACAUCUUCCCAGAUAGUUUCAUCCGAAAAGAACUCUACAAUCAUAAGGUUCUCAUUCAAACGGACAUAAAUUCAUAAAAAAAUACAAGUGAAGUACGAAACUUCAUUUCCAUUUUCCUUUCCGGGAGGUCACGAAGGGAUUACACAAGAUAAAAAAAAUACCUUAUUAUUCUUGGAGAUUACAGCACCUUUGAUAUGGUGGCUAUUCUAUAAGUGGUGGUGAUACUACUAGUAAGGUCAGAGUGCGCUGGAGGCUCUUCUAGCUCGAAGCUCUGAACUCCGUCUCGUCUGUGUCUUCUCACAGCGCUCAGCCCUCCUCUUUUUAUAGUGCGCGAGGGAUGCUAGAUGUUCUGGAGUCUGGAAGUUUGUACAAUCAGCCACGCAUGACUCCCAUGCUAGACUGAUGUUUUUGUCCAAACUAAGAACUUUGUCUAGACUGGGAACUUUGUCCUAAAACUCAUCUCCAUCGCAGCUGUUGCCAUGAUUUUUAAUGCCAAACCUUACAUGCACCGUUGUAUGCCUUGUAUCCAUGUGAGUAUAGAAACAAUAAAGUUAUAACUCGCAGUAGAACAUGCAGAGUUGUUAAGUUUUAAAACAACAAGAAAAUCUUCAGUUGCAAAAGGAAACAAGAGGGGUCAAAAUCCUACAAGUUAUUUCACCAGACUAGAUAACUCACCAAGUAUGAUUAAGUUCCUCUUGAGAAACAGCUACUCUGCCUGGAAAAAUCACAAGUCUGCAAGCACUUGCCAUUUACCAACCGCAAGCACUGGGGCCUGACAAUGCUACGCGCAACUAAGGGGGUGCCCGUUGAAAUUACUGAAACUCACAGGUUCCAGACCGAGGUGCAAUAUCACAGUAUCAAAACAUUUCACGAAAAGGAAAACAAGCGGCCCGUUCAAAUACAUUAAUAACACCAUCAAACAAAAUUUGACUCCGCUCCACACAAGUGCAGAGUAAACCGAAGGUACAACCAUGUAGUUCAGCAACGAUAUAGUCUAACAAAGGAGGACCAAGCGUCGUAACAGAAAGCAAAGGCCAGACACAAGUAAAAAUGCAGUAGAUAGUAUCUCCUCCUGCCAGGUUGGUGCUGAAGCCUCCCGCAAUGCCCAGCACGGAAAAUGGCAGUGAUCCUGUAGUUCCUGCACAAGGAGAAAAUCAAA
rnacentral:lncRNA from 1 species